rnacentral:lncRNA from 1 species
GCACCAUACCAGCUAGUGUUGGGAACUGUAUAUCGUUGGUACGGCUGCUGCUCGAUAACAACUUAUUAGAAGGAAGCAUACCUCAAUCUCUGAAGAACUUAAAAGGUCUUGCAUUACUGAACCUAACAAUGAACAAGCUAUCUGGUAGUAUUCCUGAUGCCCUUGCUAGCAUUGGCAACCUGCAACAACUGUAUCUAGCACACAACAACUUGUCAGGUUCCAUCCCCAAAGUUCUACAGAAUUUGACAUUGUUGGCAAAACUGGAUUUGUCAUUCAAUGAUCUGCAAGGCGAAGUGCCAAAAGGGGGUCCUUUUGCAAAUGCAACUCACUUGUCAAUUGAUGGAAAUGAUGAGCUUUGUGGUGGAAACCCUCAACUUCACUUAGCUCCGUGCUUCACAGCUGCUGCGGGGAAGAACAGAAGGCGAAUGUCAAGGUCAGUUAUGGUCACCGUAGCGUCAAUCUGCGCACUUCUAUUCUUAGGUUUAGUAGUUUUUCUUAUCCAUUUGAUCCACAAGACGCUCAGACAAGGAAAGGAAAAUCAACUCAUUCCCACAGUAAUUGAUGAACAGCACGAAAGGGUUUCAUAUCAAGCAUUAGCAAAUGGGACUGACCAUUUUUCGGAGGUUAAUCUGCUCGGACAAGGAAGCUAUGGUGCAGUUUAUAAGUGCACUUUACAUGACAAGGGAAUUACCGCAGCUGUAAAGGUAUUCAACGUAUGGCAAUCUGGUUCUACUAGAAGUUUUGUGGCUGAAUGUGAGGCACUGCGAAGGGUGCGCCACCGAUGUCUCAUAAAGAUCAUCACCUGUUGCUUAAGCAUUGAUCACCAAGGCCAAGAAUUCAAGGCACUGGUUUUUGAGUUCAUGCCCAAUGGUAACCUAAAUGGUUGGCUGCAUCCAGCAUCCAAAAUACAGAGUCUGAGCAAUACGCUCAGCUUAGCUCAGAGACUGGACAUUGCGGUAGAUAUCAUGGAUGCUCUGGAUUAUCUUCACAAUCAGUGUCAACCGCCUAUUAUCCAUUGUGAUCUCAAACCAAGUAACAUCCUCCUUGCCGAAGAUAUGAGUGCUCGGGUUGGAGAUUUCGGCAUAUCAAAAAUCCUUCCUGACGACACUAGCAAAACUCUGCUGAAUUCAGUUAGCUUCACUGGACUAAGAGGUUCCAUCGGAUAUGUCGCUCCAGGUAACAGAAACUAACACUGAUAUUGCUAUGUUCAGUUUUUUAACUUCCAUUUUGCCAAGUCCAGUUAUCUCGGCAUGCACGUUCAUAAGUAGCUUGCCAUGAAUCCACUGACCAAAUAGUGUCUGAAAUCUGAAUUGACUGCAGAGUACGGCGAGGGUCGCGCUGUCUCAACUCUUGGAGAUGUUUACAGCCUCGGCAUACUGUUGCUUGAGAUGUUCACCGGGGUGAGCCCUACUGACGACAUGUUCAAAGACUCCUUGGACCUUCAUAAGUUCGCCGAGGCCGCUCUCCCGGACAGAGCCUUGGAGGUAGCCGACCCGGCAAUCUGGCUUCAUGAAGAAGCAAAGGGGAAAGACCCUGCCACGGUGAGAAGCAGAAGCGAGGUGUGCUUGGCUUCAGUGAUCGGGCUUGGCGUGUCCUGCUCAAAGCAGCUGCCAAGGGAGCGGACGGCGAUGCGGGAUGCUGCCGCUGAGAUGCGUCCGAUCAGAGAUGCCUUCCUGGUUCAAUGUGCAACAGAGACUUGGGCUGCAGUCGGCACCACCGGCCUUGGAAGCGCAGACAGUUGAAUGGUGGACGGAGCUACGGUCUCUUGACGCACCAAGGAGCACCGGACUAGCAACUCUGCAACUAACAGAGUGGAGAAAGCGCCCCUUAAUGAAAAGAAAAACAGCCGGUGCAAGGCUUUAUACAAAGAAUGUGACAGCCACUGCGUGUAUCCGAGGCUUUAUACAACUCUGCCUUAUCUAAUCUACCGAGGAUUGUUGCGUAUGGAUGCGUAUAGAUUAUGCACGUACUCCCUCCUCCGUCCUAAAAUAAACGCACAUCUCGUUUCUCGAGGAGUCAAACUUUUAAGUUUGACUAAAAUUUAUAAAAAAAAUGUACUACUAUUUAUAAUGUAUAAUAAAUGUCAUUAUUGAGCAUUGGGUAUACUUUCCUAAUACAUUUAUUUGAAGAUGCAAAUAUUGUUACUAUUUUCUAUAUUCUUAGUCAAACUUAAAAACCCGUCAUGGGGAUUAGUCACGAUAUAAGUAGGGACUAGCAAGCAUCAAAACCCCAUUCACUGCCCAUCUAUCGCUCAAAUAAAAGAAACCAUUGCAUAUGGUGGCGAUGCGCUCGCGAGCCUUUCUCCAACCUUUCUGCUCUCGCGAGCCUUGAACUCGCAUGGAACAGUUUUAGUGAGAGUGUGCCUCCAACUUUGGGAAGAUUGUGAAGCCUUAUUUACCUGUCCUUAAGUGGCAAUAAGUUAUGAUCGAAUGAUAAGGACGGAUUGGAAUUCAUCACCAUGCUAGCAAACUGCAGCCAGCUUCAGCAACUGGCUUUUGAUAAUAAUUCAUUCAUCGGUGAACUUCCUAGCUCAAUAGCAAAUCUAUCGACAACUCACCAAUUACUCUAUAUAGGAAACAAUUGGAUUUCGGGAUUUAUUCCAUCCAGCAUAGGUAAUUUGCUUGGUCUAGAACUGCUUACGUUGGCAAAUACUUUCAUAUCCGGAGUGAUUCCAGAUAGCAUUGGUCGCAUAGAAGACAUGUCCGUGUUAGGCAUUUACUACGCUAGCUUGUCAGGCAUCAUACCUUCAUCACAAGAAACCUUACACAGUUGAAAACUCUAUGCAUACGAUAGCAACUUGGAGGGUCCAAUUCCAGCAAGCUUGGGGAACUUAAAGAAUCUUUUUGUUCUUGAUCUUUCAACGAAAGUGUGUUACCCGUUAAGAUUUCAUGUCGAAGCAGAGCAUAAACCUCUCUCAAGACUGCAAAGCUAUCAUAGAGCAGAUCAGUCUGAGGGCCGGGCUAUGUACCCUUUCGGUAAGAUUACCCCAAACUAGAGUCUGUAAUUAAUUAGCCAAGACUAGAAUUACGUAGUUCUUGUGGUUGUACUGUUUUCCUGGGUGGCCGCUCCAUGUUCCAAUUAAGCAUGAUGAUCUUGUAUUAAUAAAAGGUAUAUCAUAAAUAAAACAAGUUUAAUCAUUGAGUUCAUUAAAACCAUCACAACCCAAGGUAUUGCAACUAAGCAUAUCUACCAAAAAAAGGGUAAAACCCAGGUUGACAAAGAAUGAUCAUAAAAACUAGGUAAACCUUAAUAGGGCCCAUCAAUUUUAAGUGCACAGCAAUGCAAAAGUGAUUAAAUAUAGUUAUUGGGACAAAAGCACAUGGACACACUUGCCUUUCUCCAAAGAAUAGCUGCUCUGAUUAUCUUCAACUCUUGUUCCUCAAAGCUCUCGAACAACGUUCCUUAUACUCACAUCAAUCAUUGGCACAAGCAUACAAAGCAAACAACAAUCACAACUAAGAACAAUACAUCAAUCAUAGGAAAGCUUUAAAAGAGCGCACUAAAGGAUAAGGCUUGAAUCUGAAACACUGGGAACUAAACUAUGGUUGAAAUGACAAAGCUAUCGAGAGAUUUGAAUUAUAAAAGAAAGAGAAAAGCCUAUGCGCUUCAUAUAUUUCAAUAAAGAAAAUAAUGUAAAGAUAUUUUAGAGAAACAUCCUUAGCAAGUUAUAUUUAUAUAUGAAAAGAUAAUGUAGAACUUAGUCAAAUUUUAUUUAUAAACAUUCAAGUACAAUUUAUGCAAAUUAAAAAUUUAAUUUGAAAAUAAAGUAUAUGGAAACAUCUAAGCGCAUAGCUUUAUGAUUCGGGUUGAACUAACCAAAUAUAAUUCAAAAACAUAUUUAUAUUUAUAUUAAGUCAAAUUAACAUAUAAUUAUGAAACCUCGAGAUAUAACUUAUGUAGCUUUUAUUUAGAAAACAAAUUGAAUAAACAUUAAUCAAUUUAAGUUCAAUUAUGAACCACCGUGGUGCAUCUCUAAUUCACUUUUAAUUGAAAGAGUUAUUUAAAUAAGCAUUAACUAAAUUAAUAUUUAUUAUGAAAAGUGGUUAUAACACUAAGUAGCUUUUAAUUAAGGAAGGCAUGUUUAACAUGCAUUAAUUAGAUUAAUAUUAAAUUUAUUUUAAAAACAUGCAUGAUGGAAAGAUCAGUACUAACAUGUAAUUUGUGUUAUCACGAACCUAACUCAACAAGAACGGAUAUAAACGGAGCUGUAACGAGGAGUCUAUGGGUUAAACAAGGUUGCAGGGCCUAAUCACGAUUAACGGAAGGUUGUUGGGGCUAGCAAGGAAGAUUUGCAAGACACUGGAAUAGAGCUCGUUAUUAGGUCAAAGCAUAGGGUUAGAUCUGUUAAAGUGCUCAGGUUGGACUUGGUUGCACGGAUACAAUCUAAUCAGGGACAUGGAUGAAAAAAACAAGACACAAGGAAAAACUAACUAUAUAUAGAGCUUUCUAGGGGCCUAUGCGCAAAAGCACCAUAGCUCAGCAUCCAUGGUGGACGGGCUCCUUGACGGCAAAAUCCUCAUGCUGGAUUUAUAAGCCUGGUAGUCCACCAAGGGGUUUCCCAAGUAGUUGAUUUGUAGGUGAGGGUGAUUGUGAAACCAAGAACUCGAAGGUGAUUGUGAGAACACGAAGGGACACAAAGGUUUUAGACAUGUUCGGGCCUCCGAAGAGUAAUACCCUACGUCCUAUAUGCUGGUUUGUAUUGCUUGAGAUUGAUGUGAUUGUUGCGAUAUCCUCGGGGGUGCCCUUGGCCACCUUAUAUAGGUUGACGACCAAGAGUUAAAAGUCGGUUUGAAUCUAAUCUACUCGGUAGUUACAUGGAAAGUAAUCUGAGUUGGACUACAAUACACGUUCCAUGAUAUCCGAGCAGAUUUGAACUGUCUUGUUGCCUUGACUUGCACUCCAAGUAACUUCAUAUCCUCGGCCCACACGCCCUGGUCGAGCGAGCCCUACUUGUCAGGUUCGGCCAGUAUCCUGGUCGGCUGGGGCCCAUGGGGUACCCAUUUCUCUCAAGCCCCCGAGCGUUGUGUAGGCAAAUAGAAACUUGAGGUCACCAAAACGAAACUUGAAAUGAAGUCGGCUGAAGCUGCGAAGGCGUCAUUGCGACGGAGAGGCUGCGCAGUGCUUAAAAGAAGAAAAUCUGAGCAAACACAGAGCCAACGCGUAGAGCGAAGACGAGUGCCGAGUUGAUGGAUGCUGGCAUCCAGUAGGUCGGAGCGAAGGUUACGGAGGGCGUCGCAAGAGAAACUCCGUAGGAGUAGCCCCCGAGCAUUGAAACGAUUAAGAUAAUCGGUACAUUGGUCAAAGUACAAAAAAUUAUCCCAUGAUGUAGAUCCUAGUGCUCGAACACAAGGAUGGGUGCAGCCAUGGAGGCCCGCCCACUAGAAGUAGGCACCCAGACCCAAGGACGAGGACUGAUAGGACCGCGUAGCCACGCUGACCUGAAAUAGGCGUCCAACCCCCGAGGACGAGGACUAGCGGAGCCGCGGAGGCAUGCUGACCUGAAGUAGGCGCCCAGCCCCCGAGGAUGAGGACUGGCGGAGCCAUGAAGGCACGCCGACUUGAAAUAGGCACCAAGUGUAACAACUCUACCUAAAUUAAGUGCUUUUAAAUAUAAACUAGUGGCUAAUCACUAAGUUAAAGAAGUAAAAUGACCAUUUUAACCCUAAGAAGCUCUUUUUGGAGUUUGAAAUAAAACUUGGAAUUUUAUAUGCAAACUUAAAAUUUUGCCCAAACAAGAGUUGUAAAACUUUCAAUUUCAAACAACUUUUGUUAAACGAACUUUGACUAAUUCAGAGUGGGAGGAAGUCAAAAAUAGCAAUCAAAACUGGAGUACUAAAGAACCCUAUAAACCUCCUAAGUCCUGGUUUUCAAAUUUUCCCUCCAACUUUGCAAGCCUUUAUCUCAUGAUUUCUUAUCCAAACUCAAGUCAGGCUCUUAAUAAAAGUUGUAGUCCCUCGAGUGUGUUCCAACUUUGUUACACUGACCCAGGUCCAAAUCGGGCCAGAACCUGUUCAAAAUCUUGGUCAAAGUGAGGUAAAACAGUCAACUCAUCCCUUGAGCCCCACAACGCUAAGUCUGAAAAACUGCUCAGAGUGCACCUCUUGGCGAGGGCGUUCCUCCAAAUUUUUGAACUAAACUCAAGAAAUACCCUAAAUAAAAGCUUAAACCCAGGGACCCCUACGUAGUUAAACCUUAAACCCAGGGGCUUGCUUGCAACUUUGUCACAGCUUUUCUUUUAAAUAAUAGGCAGAAAUAUGGUUGAAUUUUGUAAAUGCCCAGUAAAUCGUAGAAUAAUCAUAAAAAUGCCAAACUACUUUUGCUAGAAUCCUUUCUCUGUCUAGUUCCUAAGAAAAAUAAGUUUGCUCAUGUUACUGUUGUAAAUAAUAUCCUACGCUUUUAAUCAUGUUGUAGGCCUUUUAAAUCCUAAUAAAUAGAAGAAAAGUGGGAAAAAUGUGGAACCAACUCUGUGAUGCUUGUUUCUAUGUGUAGAAGCUUAGAAAAAUAGUUAGGGCUCUGGUGUAGCACUUUAAGUCACUGUUUUGACUUUAAAUUGGGAAUCUAAGUAUAAAUCUUCCUUUUUGCAUAAGUUUUGAUCUAGAGCUUAGAAAAAUGUGAAACUAGUUGGGUUAAUUUUGUUUUGCUGUAAAGUUCUCAGGAAAAAUAUAAAUUGUUGUGCAAAUCAGAAAUAAAAACACCUUCCUUGCUAAGCAUGUUUAAUUAAGAAAAGAAAUAGAGUAAAUAGUAACCUUGUCCAAAAAUUACGAAAAAAUUCACCAAAGCACCUGUAACAUACCCUUAACACACUGCUUAAGUUUCACCCUCUGUUGCACAAUAAUUUUGAAGAUGGAAAAAAUUAAGCUCAGUUUACCUUUAAUAAUAAAAUGCAUGUAACUUCUUUUUAAGUCAUCCUUUGGCCCCCAAACUUUUACAGUAACCUAGUGAUGGCUUAAGUGAGGUGCUGUAAUUUUAUCAAUGACUUUAACUACUUUUUGGAUAUGAAGUCAUUUUGGUUAAUUAAUCAACCUAAAGGAAUAAAAGGAGAGCGCGAAUUCUAAUACGAUAAAUAAGUGGACACUGAAAGAGGUACAUAAAAACAUUCAGAAGUAAGUAAUUAUUCCAAUGCAUCCAAACCACCCAACACGACCUUUCACACUCUUUAUGCAACUCUAAAUGCAAGAAAGCUAUAUAUGUACACAAUCGCCAUUCAACGCGAACUCAAGUUUAAAACGACCACUUUCGUUUGAAGUUAAAAAAAGUAAACCUCAUCAAAGUGUUUGUGGCUGUUGUGACUCUUGUCUUAAGCCAUGCCUUGUGUCGUUGAAUAAACGCGCGAGUCCAACUAAAUUUUUGUAUGUGCAUGUCGUAUAGAAGCAACUCUCGCCGACGGAACCUACGAGCUCCACCCGGCACCAGAGAAAGACCCCGCUACGGAGCUUCACCACUUGGAAGGCGAGCCCGAACCGGAGCAAGAUCCUGAGGACCCGCUAACUUUUCCUGAAGGCAAGCCCCGGAGCAUAAAUUCCUAUCUUUGAAUACUUGCAAUAUUAUUGAACACUUUGAUUGCGCAUUUACGUUUCUAGGAGUUGUAAUGAAACCUUAGAUGCAUGAACUUAGUACCUUGUUUGAAUACUAGUUGCUAAAGUCGAGUAGUUGCAAUGCUUAAUAGGUUCCGGUAAAAGUCGAGUGAUUUCCUAUCACUCGCGAGUUAUAGGAGUUGAAUGUUUACUUAUGUUGCAACUAUAAGGACGAUGGAUGUGGUCGGGCUUAUGUUCGAUACUUGGUGGUUUUUCCCCGUCUGUCUAAAGGAAAUUGAUCUAAGGUUGAAAUGUGUCGGCGUUCGUGAUCAAGUGUUUGAAAGUACUAAUCUCAUACCUAGUAUGGGAUGGGGAAGCCUAGUACCUGAUUGAACUGGGGCAUGGCAUACUCCCCCAGCUGCCUUGGAACACCGUUCCCAUGGUGCAUCAUGUGGGUGCAAGUGCGGUCAUAGUACGGCAGAGGCCGGGAUUAUGGAGCAUGGCAUGCCAAAGGCAGUUGGCCCUGACACGUGCCUAAGGGAUCGAUGGGGACGGCUGACAAAUGAAGCAACCCUUCGUGGUGCGCGGAUGUCGUGAGAUUAGGUUCGCCAUGCAUGGUUAAUAAAUUCGAAUCGAUUCGUCUGCCUCUCACAGUUUGGGACUACUUGAUCGCUAUUCUGCACUGAGUAACGAUGAAACAUGAUUACGAGAUUAAGUUGAUGCUUGUUAUUUAACUGCUUGGAAAUCAUGCUUGUUUAGCAUAAGUGGCUAAUCUAGAAUGGUUAAAGAACGUAGAACUUGAGCUAAAAUAUUGAAAGUAAGGACUGAUUGUAGACGCUUGUGGCAAAGAAAUCGCAGAGCCAGAAAGCCUUGCAUGUCUAGGUCUUGGUAAAGCUUUUCACUCGACGGGUCAGUCUUGCUGAGUAUUAGUUGCUCAGCCUUGUUGUGGCUUAAUCUUUUCCAGUGAUGUCAAUAGUUUGGUUGCGGGCACCACUUGGCCUACCCAGCUCCCUCCGGGCUGGACAGUCGAGUGGGAUCCCUCCUCGGACGGCGAGGGAAGGGAUUUUUGAUGUCAUGAUUGGAUCCGUCGUGAUGUCAUGUAUCGAUGUUUAGCUUCCGCUUGUUUUAUCCGACUUUUCGAACCUUGCAACUUGUUUGAAUUUUCAGAAACUCUGAUGUAAUAAUUUGUGACACUAAGGAAUGUGAUGGAAUGUAGUAAUCUCUGUGCUACUCACCUUCAUGUGAGCGAUGCUUCUCGAUCCUGUUUAGGUGGUUCAUCGGAUGAAAUCCAACGGUCGACCAGUUUGACUUGCUUAAAGUGCAUAAUCGCGUGUCAGGCGACUUCAACGCAUUUUAGUCAGGUUAAUUUGGGUGGUUCCGCCACAGCUAGCAUCAGAGCUCGAAGCACGGUAUGGAGAACAACAAACCUUAAAACACUUUUCCUGACUAAAACUUGCAAGAAACGAGUUGAAAAAUUCGUAAGUUCGUUAAGGAUGAAUUUAGUACGAGGAGCCCUAGGGGAAUUUUGGGUCUUUUAAGGUGGCUAAUAAUUAUUGGUUAUCUUCUGACUUCCAGCACUUGUUACCACGUCUAUCAUACGUGUGCCGAGAUCUGCAUCGCGAGUGUGCGAAGGGUGAUAGGAAUUCGAUUCCAACGAGCCUAUCAUCACGGUUGUUUCGCCCACGUCUAUUAUACGUGCGCAGGUUCCGUAUGUUAAUUCAUGCGAAGGAUGGUAUGGUUCGAUUCCAACGAGCCUAUCAUCACGGUUGUUCGCCCACGUUUAUUAUACGUGUGCAUGAUUCCGCAUCACGAGAAUGUGAAGGGUUAUAUGGUUCUAUUCAAGGGAACCUAUUUCCACGGUUGUUGCGCUGUCCAUGCAGCGUUAAACGCAUGGGUGCCGUUUCUAUAGUGAACGGUAAUGAUUGUGGACGCUUUUGUGAGUACUGGCACGGAAAGUUCAAGCUAUGAUGUGUUUUUCUGCGGGUACACUAACAACGUUGCGUACGAAACGAUGCUUAGCAACUCGACUAGUUAUUAUAGUGAGAGUCGUAUUGUUGCCUUGCCACCGGCACUAACCACGUAAGUUCAAAGAUUUUUGGCGAUUAUUUUUGGUUGAGAGGAUGACUAGGACGUGCAUGCAUUAAGAAAUAAAAACCGCAACCUAAGGAAAUAAAACCAAGCUCGAGUGUGUCGUAAAAAGAAAUGCACCGCGAUAAGGAUCGUCUAGUUGUCCUUUUUUUUCCGCCAUGCACGUUUAAAUAAAUCUUUCAGGUUGUUCCAUAUGAUAACUUCAGAAACUUUAUAUAAGAAAUUUGUGUUAAAUCUCCCAAGUAAACUGCUGAAAAUUUUUCACAAAGUACUACCACUUGGGUUGAGAGUUGUGAUCAGUUUUGUGACCCCCUGUUGGCUGUUAGCCCUGAGUGCACACCAGUUGGAAUUCUGCUGUUUCGACCACCUUAAGAACUUUUUCUGCUAGGAGUCCCUUAAGAAACGUUUCUCAAAACUUAAUAAAGAACUUACUGGUAAAAUUGCAGCUUCAUUAGGUCUCUUGUUUUGAAGUUAUGUUCAGUUUACUUUGACUCGGGUCUGAAAAAUUCUAGCAUGUACACUUAAUGGGAAUCUGAGGUUAUCACCUUGUUAGGUCCUGUUCUAGCCCUACCUUUGAAUACCAAACUUGUUACGCACUAUCUAAAGAACAUGCUGGUAAAAUUUGAGAAAUUUUGGAUGAAUAAUUGCUGAGUUAUGAGCUUUUCUCUAACUGCUAGAAAUCUGUUUUGAUUUCCAAGUGUUAACUCCGUUUCUCACUUGUCCUUUGGUUACAGUGGCUCAGCCUGUGCACGUUGCAGUCGGUACGGAUGGCACCACCUACUCACGGUGCCUUCACUACGAGGGUUUCCUAGCCGUACUGUGGGACACCCUGCGCUCUUUUGGGUACCCGUCACCGCCAGUUUACGCGGGACGUGCAUACCAGGACCGCGGGAUUCCGCGGAGUCGCGUGCACGUGCGGGUGCCCCCGCCUCCGGGUCAGCCACAGUGUCCGCUUUUGGAGGUGGUGGCCGAGGGAUAGACACUACAGGACACCUGGGAGUUCGCAGCCUUGCAGACCCUGACACAGUUUUGCCGGGCACACCCUCUUGAGAUCGUGCUGGACCCGAUUGGGUUGUGCUCUGCUCGGGAUACGAGGGACCCGGAUUGGUUGGAUCGUAUGGAGCAUAUGGACUUACUCAGGGUUAUGGAUCCACAACGCACGAUUUUUGUUUCAGCUCGUUGCCUGAACGUGUUCUUCCGGAUGGUUGAGAUGCAGAGCCGAGCGAUGGCUACGGUGAUCGGGAUGGCAGUGGCCAACCAGGUCGCUUUAUCUGCCGUGCAGAGUGGCAUGGUGGACCAGUCGCUUGAGCUAGUACAGAAGGAUGUCCAGAUUGCUGAGAUGCAGGACAAGAUCACUCGUUUGGAGGAGGAGAUUGUGGAUAUGGAGCAUGAUAUGGAGAUCUUGGCUGACCAGUUCUAUGAUGUGAACAUGGAGCCGGCGAACGUCAAUGAGCACCUGCAGGAGCAUCACGAUGAGCUUAAUGCCAUUCACACCUUAGAGAUGCAGCAGGAUGAGCCGAUGGCCCAGGAGGAGGAGCCUGAGGAGAUCGAGGGCUUUUCGAGCAUGGACUAUGAGGAGGCCUCUCCGCAGCCUCCAGUUGGCGAUGCUCACUCUCCUGCCCUUAGCUUUGCCUCCGUGGGCAACCUCGACGACUUCUAGUUGUGUUGACUUGUUGUUGAGGGGUUCUCUUUUGUUUUUACUCCUCGGCGACCUAUAUUUUGGCUAGUGAUAUAAUAGGUUAGCUUGAGUUGAGUAUUUGGGAGUUGAGAAACUGAUUCUAUGUUGGAUUGCCGUUGCUAUCUUUAGUGUAAUGUCUGAAAUUUAUGGCAGAACUGCAGUGACUGUUUCUCCUCAGUUUUACCCCUGUCUCCACUCGUUUUUGAGCCAAAGUUUGAAUACCAAAGUUGUGCAAAAACUUCUGUUCUAACUAUUCGUAAAUUUUCAGCUCCUUCGGAUCUGUCAAACGCCCGCUAGAGCCAAAACCCCACUGUUCAGCUUGCUGAAAAAUCAGCCGGACAGCAACUUGCUAGAACGUCUAAACGACCUCUUUUCCUUCCUUUUCGGUCGACAAGCGUAACAUGAAAGUGGUUGUGUACGAUAUAUUCUAACCCUCACUUAAGGAUGAGAACCUUGUGCACUUCGAAGAAGAGAUAUGCACCUACUCAAUAAAAGUUUUGAUUGUUGCUUUUGCACCAUCGGCAAGACUAGCGUUUAUCAUUUCCGCACAUAAUGUUUCCUUAUGGUUAAACAAGAUUUUGGGGCUAUGUGACUAAUGGAAAGGUGAAUCUUGCAGAUGGCACAUCGCAUAUGCUCCGGCUCCAUUCCUAGUGGCAGCGAGGUGCCUCCCCCACCUCCGCCUCCAACCACCCUCGAGGCAAUCUUGGCGGCUCAAACCGAGCUGCUGAGGCACAUCGCUCAGGGACAGCAGCAGCAGCAGCCCUAGGGAGGAAGAGCCCAUCAGCAGCCUCAUGUUGCUCGCUACGAGGACUUUCUGGGGACCCAGCCUCCUCUGUUCCACAAGACGGAGGACCCGCUUGACGCCGAUGCCUGGAUUCGUGCCAUCGAGUCCAAGUUCUCCCUUCUCACCGCCCAUUGCCCGGAGGAGAACAAGGUUCGGUUCGCCGCGCAACAGUUGCAUGGUUCUGCUCUCCUGUGGUGGGAUCACUACCACGCCAUGCAGCCGGCCGACCACGUCGUCGGCUGGGAGGAAUUCAAGACAGCGUUCAAGGGCCAUCACAUCCCUGAGGGUCUUCUGGAGCGCAAGCUCAAUGAGUUCCUGGCUCUCACCCAGGGAGGCCGCGACGUCCUGCACUAUGCGCAGGCUUUCAAUGACCUGUGUCGCUAUGCAGGCUAUCAUGCAGACUCUGAUGAGAAGUAGAGGGACCGCUUCCACAGAGGCUUGAGCCUGGAGCUCAAGGAAAGCCUGAAUCCCAUCAAGGUGGAUUCCUACAAUGAACUGGUGAACCUGGCAAUUUCCCAGGAAGAUUGCAUGAGGGCUCUCAAGGCUGACCUGAAGCGAAAGGCUCCAAUGCCGGCACCCGGCCCACCGGCCCAGAAAUACAAAGUGGUUCCCCCACAGGCGUCUCACAGGCCCGCACAACCUAGGAGAUGGGUUGCUCGACCUCCACCGCAGGCAGCACCUCAUUUCCCUGGAUUCCAGCCGCAAGGGCCCCGACCUACUCUUCCUAUGCCGCCAUGCCUAGUCACUGGAAACCGCUGUUUCACCUGCGGGAACCCAAGACACUUUGCCAAGAACUGCCCCCGCAACAAGAAUCAACGACCCGGUCAGAGCAAUGCACUGAGCAACAAGGGGAAGAAGCCGAGGGUUCAGGUCCGACAAGGCAGGCUGAACUACACCACCCUUGCUGAACUUCCAGAGGGUGCACCAGUGAUGACGGGUACCUUUUCUAUCUAUAACCAACCCGUCCUUAUUCUGUUUGAUUCGGGAGCAUCUCAUAGUUUCAUUGGGACUAGAACCAGUGCUAAGUGUGGGUUAGAUUUCUGUCACACAAAAGGUGCUUAUAUAAUCUCUACCCUGGGUAGGAAAGUAACUUCACACCAAGUGAGCCGCAAGGUGCCUAUCCAGUUGGGGAGAACCCUUUUUAAGGAAAACCUCCUUAUCCUUGGGAUAGAAGGAAUAGAUAUUAUCUUGGGUAUGGAUUGGAUGACUCGACAUCGAGUGGCACUAGACAUCCCUGCCAGAGCCGUCCAUAUAAACUCACCCAUUUAUGGUAGCUCAAUCAUACACUUACCCCCCCGAGAGUGCCAAACUUUUUGUGCCUAUCCCUUGACUGAAGCCCGUUUAGAAGACAUCCCAGUGGUGUGCGAGUAUCCCGAUGUGUUUCUAGAUGAUUUGCUGGGUAUGCUGCCUAAUAGAGAUAUCGAGUUUGCUAUUGAGUUGCAACCAGGUACUGCCCCAAUUUCAAAGAGACCGUACCGGAUGCCACCAGCCGAGCUGGCAGAAAUGAAAGCUCAGUUUCACGAUCUGUUGGACAAAGGUUUUAUUCAUCCAAGUACAUCACCUUGGGGUGUCCCCGCCUUGUUUGUGAAAAAGAAGGACGACAGUCUGCGUAUGUGUCUGGACUACUGCCCUCUCAAUGCGGUGACGAUAGAGAACAAGUACCCACUACCCCGCAUUGAUGUUCUGUUCGAUCAGUUAGCUGGAGCUAGAGUGUUUUCCAAAAUUGACCUCCAUUCUGGCUACCAUCAAAUCAAGAUCCACCCGUGCGACAUUCCUAAGACUGCUUUCUCUACACGGUAUGGACUCUAUGAGUACUUAGUCAUGUCAUUUGGGCUUACUAAUGCACCAGCUUAUUUCAUGUACCUCAUGAAUUCGGUGUUUAUGCUCGAACUCGACAAAUUCAUCGUGGUUUUCAUUGACGAUAUCUUGGUGUACUCAAAGGAUGAGGAAGAACAUGCAGAGCACCUACAUACUGUACUCCAACGCUUAAGAGAUCACCAACAAUAUGCCAAAUUCUCUAAGUGUGACUUCUGGCUGGACAGUGUUAAAUUCUUGGGGCACACCAUAUCCAGAGACGGUAUAGCAGUAGACCCAAGCAAAGUGCAAGAAGUAAUGGACUGGAAGUCGCCCACUUCAGUUCAUCGGAUUCGAAGUUUUCUCGGGUUAGCAGGUUACUACCGUCGCUUCAUUCCUGACUUCUCAAAAAUAGCUAAGCCAAUGACGAAACUGCUAAGGAAGGGAGUUAAGUUCAUGUGGAGUGACAAAUGUGAAGAAGCCUUCCACACCCUGAGACAAUUACUGACCUCUGCGCCGGUUUUAGCUCAGCCCAACACCACUAGGCUGUUUGACGUAUAUUGCGAUGCCUCUAGCACUAGACUGGGUUGUGUUCUUAUGCAAGACAGCCGAGUCAUUGCCUAUGCCUCACGAGCGCUACGGCCACAUGAGUUGAACUACCCUACCCAUGAUCUCGAGUUAGCAGCAAUCGUUCAUGCUCUGAAAUUAUGGAGGCAUUAUCUUAUGGGAACUCGAUGCAACAUCUAUACGGAUCACAAGAGUCUUAUGUACAUCUUCACUCAAGCAGACCUCAACAUGCGCAAGAGAAGAUGGUUAGAAUUAAUCAAAGAUUAUGACCUAGAAGUGCACUAUCACCCAUGCAAAGCCAAUGUAGUUGCCGAUGCUCUCAGCCGCAAGAUCCAUUGUAACUGCUUAUCGGCAAUUAAUUAUGCCGAGACCCUCUGUCAUGAAAUGGCUAAACUCAACUUGGAAAUUGUUCCCCAUGGCACCUUAAGUCAUAUUUCUUUAGAGCCUACCCUGCUUGACCAAAUAAUUUUAGCACAACUAGAGGAUGAAGAGAUAAACCUUAUCAAGGAGAAACUCGCACAGGAGGAUGAGGGAUAUAAGCAUUUCUGAUAGGAUUGGAGAGGAGUGGUACAUUAUGAAGCUCGACUCGUAGUUCCAAAUGAUCCCGAUCUUAGGAAACAAAUUCUGGACGAAGCACACCUUUCCAAGUUCUCGAUUCACCCUGGUAGUACCAAGAUGUACCACAACCUCUGACAAAAUUUCUGGUGGAGUGGAAUGAAACCCGACAUUGCACGAUAUGUUUCAGAGUGUGAUACCUGUCAGCGAGUCAAAGCAAGCCACUUAAGGGUAGCUGGCCCCUUGCGGCCACUGCCUAUUCCCUCGUGGAAGUGGGAGGACAUAAGCAUUAUAGUCAGACUACCCAAUACCUCCCGCAAACAUGAUUCGAUAUGGGUUAUAGUAGACCGACUUACCAAAACAGCGCAUUUUCUUCCAGUACACACCACCCGCGCCAUACAGAAAUAUGCAGAACUGUACCUUGACCGGAUUGUUUCCUUGCAUGGUGUACCUAAGACGAUCAUCUCUGAUCGAGGUAGUCAGUUUGUAGCACGCUUUUGGGAGCAGUUGCAGUUUUCACUUGACACUAAAUUUAUUCGUAGUUCCACAUAUCAUCCUUAAACCGAUGGACAAACUGAAAGGGUUAACCAGAUUUUGGAAGAUAUGCUACGCGCCUGUGCCAUUCAUUAUGACAAGAACUGGGAUAAGUGUUUGCCAUUAGCGGAAUUCUCAUACAACAAUAGUUACCAAGCUAGCCUGAAAAUGGCGCCUUUUGAAGCCUUGUAUGGACGUAGAUGCCGAACCCCGCUAAGCUGGUCGCAACAGUGUAUGGACCUGACCUGGUCAUGGAGGCCGAAGAAAAAGUAAGAGUUAUUCGUGAAAAUCUCAAGGCCGCCCAGUCUCGACAAAAGAGCUAUUCCGAUCAAAGAAGAAGACCUAUCCAAUUUGAGGUUGGGGAUUUUGUAUACCUGCGGGUUUCACCGACCAAAGGCGUACAACGUUUUGGAGUAAAAGGAAAGUUGGCUCCGCGCUAUAUUGGUCCCUAUGAGAUUGUAGAAGUUUGUGGACCCGUAGCGUAUCGAGUUAAACUUCCAGAGAAGAUUGCAGCGAUACACGAUGUUUUCCAUGUCUCACAACUCAAGAAGUGCAUUCGGGUUCCAACUGAAAUCAUCGCCUCGGAAGAAUUGGAGAUUGAACCCGAUUUAACAUACAAGGAGUAUCCUGUUAAGAUCCUUGACCGGAAGGAAAGACAUACUCGUAGGCAAAUGGUAAAAAUGUACAAAAUUUGGUGGAGUAACCAUACGGAAGAUGAAGCGACCUGGGAGACGGAAGAGUAUCUCAACACUAACUUCCGCGGUUUUCUUUUCGACCAGGAAGGUACGUUGCACCGGCCACACUAGUUCCUUUCUGCACUUGAAUCUCGGGGCGAGAUUCCUUUAAGGGGGGUAGGCUGUAACAACUCUACCUAAAUUAAGUGCUUUUAAAUAUAAACCAGUGGCUAAUCACUAAGUUAAAGAAGUAAAAUGACCAUUUUAACCCUAAGAAGCUCUUUUUGGAGUUUGAAAUAAAACUUGGAAUUUUAUAUGCAAACUUAAAAUUUUGCCCAAAUAAGAGUUGUAAAACUUUCAAUUUCAAACAACUUUUGUUAAAGGAACUUUGACUAAUUCGGAGUGGGAGGAAGUCAAAAACAGCAAUCAAAACCGGAGUACUAAAGAACCCUAUAAACCUCCUAAGUCCUGGUUUUCAAAUUUUCCCUCCAACUUUGCAAGCAUUUAUCUCACGAUUUUGUAUCUAAACUCAAGUCAGGCUCUUAAUAAAAGUUGUAGUCCCUCAAGUGUGUUCCAACUUUGUUACACUAACCCAGGUCCAAAUCGGGCCAGAACCUGUUCACAAUCUUGGUCAAAGUGAGGUAAAACAGUCAACUCAUCCCCUGAGCCCCACAACGCUAAGUCUGAAAAACUGCUCAGAGUGCACCUCUUGGCGAGGGCGUUCCUCCAAAUUUUUGAACUAAACUCAAGAAAUAACCUGAAUAAAAGUUUAAGUCCUCAGUUUGGAGAGCAACUCCUUCAAUAACACUUCAGUCUAAUUCAACUUGGAAGCUGCCCUAAAUUCGACUCAAACAUAGCUAAGUUCCUGAAAUUCCACCUCUCCGGCCAAAAUUGGCUAAGUCUGGAUUUCCAGAUUUUUAGCAAACUUUGGCACGAGAUAUCUUCAAAUCCUUUCACAAUCUAAACCAGCACCUUAAACCAAGUUUGAACUACGUCCAGAGUUGAACAAGUUUGUUUAAAGGAGUUUUGGAAGAUGUGUUGCAAAAUCUUAAGUUAGGAUCUCCCAAAGCCGGUCGGGCUUGCUGCCCGAAGGGGGCCUCGACGCCCGCGCGCCAGAGCACGUUCGCCCGCGCGCCACGCGUCGCGUGGCCGCCGGCCACCGGCAGUUCGCCGGCGCCCUAUCACCGGCAAGACAACGAUAGGGCAAGGGCCACGGCGCCCAACCCGCGCUUGCGACAGGACGGUGCGAAUGCCGGGCUAGCGAACCGCCGGCCGCGCGGGUGUCCUUUUCCCCCUGCCACGGCUCUGCUCCGCCAACCGUGCUCCGCCCGUCCGCGGGAGAAGCCGCCACGCCGAUGACAUCCCGCGCCUCCGCCCGCUCGCCCAACCCCAAUGGUAGCCCUCCGCUUCGCCCGCCCGACAGACCGGAAGCCUCAGACACGCAUCGCCCAAGGCCAAUCCCCGCCGGAGACCACUCGGAGCUCCGACUCCUCUGCCCAAUGGCGCCGCUGGCCAAUGGCCGCCUCGCCCGCGCACCCGCCGCACCUGGCCUUAUCCUUCCUCCACCAGAGCCCCGCCUCGACCCUCCGCUCCACCGCUGCCCUAUAAAAAGGUCCCUCUCACCGGCAACGCCACCCUUUGCCACCACCCACAAUCGCGCCACCGCUUCCUCCUCUGCGCCGCCACUAAUCUUCCGUGGAGCUCACCCCUCCGCGCCACCCCGCACUCCGGCGACUUCACCGCUUGCUUUGCCAACCCACCGCGCACGUCUCCGAGCAGCUCGUGGCCUCCCCGACGCCGCCGAUGCGCCGGAACGUCGCCUGCACCGCCGCCAGCCAAGCUCUGUUGCCGCCGCCGCGUUCCGAUCCCCGUCGGCCAUCUCCGUCGCCCCAACCCCGCCAAACCGAGCUCAGGUGAGCCCCCGCACCUCUCCGGCCACUUGUUGCCCCAUCCUCGCCGGCGAACCGCCGGGGAUUUCCUCACCGCCGCCGCGCGCGCCCCGGGGACCACAUUGCAUCGUCCCCAUUCUUUCCAGGGGCUUGAGCGCAAAACUCAAGGACCCCUGUGUAGUUAAACCUUAAACCCAGGGGCUUGCUUGCAAGUUUGCCACGGCUUUUCUUUUAAAUAAUAGGCAGAAAUAUGGUUGAACUUUGUAAAUGCCCAGUAAAUCGUAGAAAAAUCAUAAAAAUGCCAAACCACUUUUGCUAGGAUCCUUGCUCUGUCUAGUUCCUAAGAAAAAUAAGUUUGCUCAUGUUAAUGUUGUAAAUAAUAUCCUAUGCUUUUAAUCAUGUUGUAGGCCUUUUAAAUCCUAAUAAAUAGAAAAGUGGGAAAAAUGUGGAACCAACUCUGUGAUGCUUGUUUCUAUGUGUAGAAGCUCAGAAAAAUGGUUCGGGCUCUGGUCUAGCAUUUUAAGUCACUGUUUCGACUUUAAAUUGGGAAUCUAAAUAUAAAUCUUCCUUUUUGCAUAAGUUUUGAUCUAGAGCUCAGAAAAAUGUGAAACUAGUUGGGUUAAUUUUGUUUUGCUGUGAAGUUUGCUGGAAAAAUAUAAAUUGUUGUGCAAAUCAGAAAGAAAAACACCUUCCUUGCUAAGCAUGUUUAAUUAAGAAAAGAAAAGGAGUAAAUAGUAACCUUCUCCAAAAAUUAUGAAAAAUUCACCAAAGCUCCUGUAACAUACCCUUAACACACUGCUUAAGUUUCACCCUCUGUUGCACAGUAACUUUGAAGAUGGAAAAAGUUAAGCUCAGUUUACCUUUAAUAAUAAAAUGCAUGUAACUUCUUUUUAAGUCAUCCUUUGGCCCCCAAACUUUUACAGUAACCUAGUGAUGGCUUAAGUGAGGUGCUGUAAUUUUAUCAAUGCCUUUAACUACUAUUUGGAUAUGAAGUCAUUUUGGUUAAUUAAUCAACCUAAAGGAAUAAAAGGAGAGCGCAAAUUCUAAUACGAUAAAUAAGUGGACACUGAAAGAGGUACAUCAAAACAUUCAGAAGUAAGUAAUUAUUCCAAUGCACCCAAACCACCCAACACGACCUUUCACACUCUUUAUGCAACUCUAAAUGCAAGAAAGCUAUAUAUGUACACAAUCGCCAUUCAACGCGAACUCAAGUUUAAAACGACCACUUUCGUUUGAAGUUAAAAGAAAGUAAACCUCUCCAAAGUGUUUGUGGCUGUUGUGACUCUUGUCUUAAGCCAUGCCUUGUGUCGUUGAAUAAACGCGCGAGUCCAACUAAAUUUUUGCAUGUGCAUGUCGUAUAGAAGCAAAUCUCGCCGACGGAACCUACGAGCUCCACCCGGCACCAGAGAAAGACCCCGCUGCGGAGCUUCACCACUUGGAAGGCGAGCCCAAACCGGAGCAAGAUCCUAAGGACCCGCUAACUUUUCCUGAAGGCAAGCCCCGGAGCAUAAAUUCCUAUAUUUGAAUACUUGCAAUAUUAUUGAACACUUUGAUUGCGCAUUUACGUUUAUAGGAGUUGUAAUGAAACCUUAGAUGCAUGUACUAGUUGCUAAAGUCGAGUAGUUGCAAUGCUUAAUAGGUUCCGGUAAAAGUCGAGUGAUUUCCUAUCACUCGCGAGUUAUAAGAGUUGAAUGUUUACUUAUGUUGCAACUAUAAGGACGAUGGACAGGGUCGGGCUUAUGUUCGAUACUUGGUGAUUUUCCCCGUCUGUCUAAAGGAAAUUUAUCUAAGGUCGAAACGUGUCGGCGUUCGUGAUCAAGUGUUUGAAAGUACUAAUCUCAUACCUAGUAUGGGAUGGGGAAGCCUAGUACCUGAUUGAACUGGGGCGUGGCAUACUCCCCCGGCUGUCCUUGGAACACCGUUCCCAUGGUGCAUCAUGUGGGUGCAAGUGCGGUUAUAGUACGGCAGAGGCCGGGAUUAUGGAGCAUUGCAUGCCAAUGGCAAUUGGCCCUGACACGUGCCUAAGGGAUUGAUGGGGACGGCUGACAAAUGAAGCGACCCUUCGUGGUGCGCAGAUGUCGUGAGAUUAGGUUCGCCAUGCAUGGUUAAUAAAUUCAAAUCGAUUCGGCUGCCUCUCACAGUUUGGGACUACUUGAUCGCUAUUCUGCACUAAGUAACAAUGAAACAUGAUUAUGAGAUUAAGUUGAUGCUUGUUAUUUAACUGCUUGGAAAUCAUGCUUGUUUAGCAUAAGUGGCUAAUCUAGAAUGGUUAAAGAACGUAGAACUUGAGCUAAAAUAUUGAAAGUAAGGACCGAUUGUAGACGCUUGUGGCAAAGAAAUCGCAGAGCCAGGAAGCCUUGCAUGUCUAGGUCUUGGUAAAGCUUUUCACUCGACGGGUCAGUCUUGUUGAGUAUUAGUUGCUCAGCCUUGUUGUGGCUUAAUCUUUUCCGGUGAUGUCAAUAGUUUGGUUGCGGGCACCACUUGGCCUACCCAGCUCCCUCCGGGCUGGACAGUCGAGUGGGAUCCCUCCUCGGACGGCGAGGGAAGGGAUUUUUGAUGUCAUGAUUGGCUCCGUCGUGAUGUCAUGUAUCGACGUUUAGCUUCCGCUUUUUUUAUCUGACUUUUCGAACCUUGCAACUUGUUUGAAUUUUCAGAAACUCUGAUGUAAUAAUUUGUGAAACUAAGUAAUGUGAUGGAAUGUUGUAAUCUCUGUGCUACUCACCUUCGUGUGAGCGAUACUUCUCGAUCCUAUUUAGGUGGUUCAUCGGAUGAAAUCCGACGGUCGACCAGGUUGACUUGCUUAAAGUGCAUGAUCGUGUGUCAGGCGACUUCAAUGCAUUUUAGUCAGGUUAAUUUGGGCGGUUCCGCCACAGCAAGCCCCCGAGGACGAGGACCGGCAAAGCCAUGAACGCACGCUGACCAGAGUUAGGCGUCCAGCCCCCGAGCAUGAGCGCAAGGACUGGUGGAAGCACGUCGAGUUGCCUCCCGCCCUAAGCCGAGGCAGAGAGGUUGGCUGGGCGACGGGCGACACGUGGAGUCAUCUACGGUACCUAGCCGCCGAGCCUGGGAGCAGGACGAGUUGCAAAAGCAUGCCAAGUUGCCUCUUGCCCUGAGCUAGCAAGGUCGACCGGGUGACGGGAGGCACGCCAAGUCAUCUGCGGUGCCCAGCCCCCGAGCCUUGGAGCCGGCCGAGCCACAGAAGCACGCCAAGCCGCCUCCCGCCCCGAGCUAGAGAGGUCAGUCGGGCAAUGGGAGGCACGCCGAGUCGUCUGCGGUGCCCAGGCCCCGAGCCUAGGAGCCGGACGAGCCACAAAAGCAUGCCAAGUCGCUUCCUGUCCUGAGCUAGAGAGCUCGGCCGGGUGACGGGAGGCACACCGAGUAGUUUUUUGAGCUGUAAAAGGACAAUACAAUCAUUAUGUAGCAUAAUGUAGAUUAUUUAAUCAUUGAACAACUCGGAAGUUUAAUACGCUGUAGAAGUAAACUCUUGCUAAUCCUGCUCUUGUAGGCCAAGUAAAUUCCCCAGGUAGUUAGCUUAUUACGUUCAAGCACCUAGCCCUACUAACCACUGCUCAUGGAGAGGAUAGUUUAUCUCAGGCUAUAGCGCUGGGGCUGACCUGAUGCUCGCAUAUAGGAGACGCGCAGGAUGAGUCAAGGUUUCACGGAUUAAGGCGUGUGCUACCCGAGUACUUUAGCAACCGUUAACAGGGACGGAUAAGCCGCAAAGCAACUGGAGCUAUGCAAAAAAGCACCAGCAUGAGCUGGGCACCCAUGGGGUGUAGCCCCCGGCCGCCCGUGUAGUGGGUGGACCAAGCUGUAUAAGUAGGCACGGUGCGACCAAGGUGGUCGGCGAAAGUCACGAGGACAUAGGAGAGCUGAGGUGGUCGACAAAAGUCACAGGAACAUGGAGGAGCCGAGGUUUAUGUAGGUAUACGGAAGUCGUAAAAUAUUUAAUUAUAAAUAAGACUUAUCCUUAUUUGUGGUCAAGUCAAAAAACCCGCGUGUCAUCUUCGCGUUUAGGCUUAGAAGCCCCUGAGCGUGGUCGUCGGAUAGUUGUUGGUGAAGCAAACUAGUUGGGCAUGCCCAACUAAUUCAUGUCGAGGCCGAGUUGUUGGAGUUGUUAGCGGCACGUUUGUGGUAUGCUACUGCCGAGUCGAUGCGGCCAUCGGGUCGUGGCCGGCUGGCCGCCACGCUCACAGUACAACAUGCCUAGGUUGUGCUGCCAAACCAAGGGUGCAUGUAAAUCUUUCCGAAGCUUGUAAGGAAGCCCUCACAUAUUAAGGAACUCUAUACCUAAUACCAUCAUGGUUGUUUUGCAAAAAAGUCUCUCAACUUUUUUGUAAUCAACCCGCAGUCUUUGGAAUGUCUUGAAGAUUGUGCAAAAAGAUCCCCAAACUUUACUGCAAUUGGCCAUCGAAGCUCCCACAGCGUGCACCUAUGCCACAUGCGGUGCGGACGGGUGUGCCGGCUGCGACUGCAAGCUCCUCGCUGCGGCAGGGACCAGGUCGAGCAGCGACAGCAAUGACGAAGGGGAGUAGUCUGCGUCUGCGUGCCAUGCCACCGUCACCGGGCAAGCUGUGGUAGCGGCGGAGUGGGAGAGUGAGUCCAUUGGCGUGUGGAGGGUGCCGUGGGGCAGGUGGGUGGCGGAGAUCUGCAACCCACACCUCGCUGUGUGCAAGUGGCUCAGCACCUUCGACACCACUGAGGACGCCGCGCGUGCCUACAACGUCGCCACCGUCGAGUUCCGAGGCUGCUGUGCCAAGCUCAACUUCCCCGACGAUGCGGCUCUCGCACCUGCACCUUCCUAGGUGCUGACCUCGACAUACCAACACCACCACCACCUGCCGCAGCCGCUGCUCGAGAGCCUGCACGAGACCUGCGGGUCGAACGCAUCCUCAUCAGUGGACGUGGCUCUUGUGGUAGCGGCACCGACUGGGCAGCACGACACGAGGCCGGUGCCGAAGGAGCAGGACAUAUGGGACACGCUAAACGAGUUCAUGAUGAUGGAUGACGGUAGCUUCUGGUCGCCCAUGCCAUGAUCGUCAUAUUCUCCUCUUGUCUUCACUUUCGUUGCUUAGCAGAUAAUGGUGGUCAGCUGCCCUCUAGUCUGUCGUCAAUCGCCAGCCAUCCAUUGCUUUUAUAUGGUUUUACACUAGCUUUUGGGCUUUGAUCACACCUCCACACCCAUACGAAACGACUAGCUAGAGCGAUGUUGAUCUACUGCCUACCGCGCGCUAGGGCGAGCAGCUACUCACUCGGGCUGCAUGCCCUACCCACCACCUGGACCUAAGAGGUGAAGGAGAGAGGAGGAAGGGGGAAGGAAACAAGGAGCCGAGUGCCUCUUUGUAGUCAACCAAGUAGAGCCAUAUGCUAGUGAAGGCAUGGCGCCAGCGAGGGGGGCGCAGCGGCAGUCGGCAGGCAACGCAAACAGGGGCGGAGGUCGAGACCUCACACCCCCCUCUCAAUGACGUCCAUCCCCUUCAGAUCCGGAACUAAAGCCUCCACACCUAGCAAUUGGGGGCUCGAUUUUGCACUUGAUUGGAACGAUUUGGAGUGGAUUAUAGAAGGGAGGUGGAUGGAAAUGAGAAGAAGAGGAAAACGCACUCCUGCUCAUGGUGGCCAGAGGCACUGUGGCCUAGCGCUCAAAGCGGGAAUGAGGCUAGGCACGGGAAGGACGAGCGUUUGCCUGGGCGACGACGAGGAUGGCAAGAUGCGCAGCGCUUAGACGACGGUGAAGAUGGGGCAAGAUGUGGGUGGCACCGAUGGACGAAGAGGCAUCGACUGGUUAGAUGAUAAUGAGUACGGGGAAAAUUGAAUGAAUUUAUAGAGCGGUGGUUGAGCGGUGAUUUUUUUUGUUUCCAUGUGUGGGUCCCACGUAAUAAACAGAUGGCAUCAAACCACCCACAAAUAUCUUCUACUACUGUACUCGGACACCGCACCAACAUAUGGUGAAGUGAAGCUAACAUAUUAGAAACAAGCGAAUAAUAAUGUGAGAGUAAGUAAAGACCUGUAGUAACGUACGGGUAUUUCUGCUAGUAAGAAAAAAAAUUGUUAGUAAGCACCGAGCAACGUAGGAGAUCUACUGGAUGGAAUAGAUUAAAUAAUAAAGGGAAGGGAGAAUUGUUCUCUUUUUUUUCCGUGGCAGAUCUGACGUGUGUGCAUGCAACAAGUUGAGGUCGACGUGUCGUGCUAAAUCAACCAGAUCGUACCGGGGCUGGAUCAGGCGAGCUUGGUUGUGGCCGGGAUGAGGCCAAUAAGGGCGCCGCCCUUGACCUUGGCCUCCUAUUCCUCGCGGAUCUUCUGCAUCUGGAGCAUCCGCUCCAUGAUGAGCUUGUACUGGCACUUCUCGCAGGCGUGGCGCUCGGGCUCGCACUUCCAGCGGAGGUAGAACUGGGAGGUGCACGCACUGGUCAUGGUAGGCGAGUGGAACCCGAGCCUCCGCCAUCUCCACCUGCGUGACGAUCUGGAGCUUCGAGGAGCCGAACUGCACGCCGCCCGCCGCCUCCAUCUGUCACUUUGUUCCCCUCUCUCUCACUGGCGAGGUCGUUCCGUCGAUAUAUGGGCGCUGCGGGUUUGGUGCGGCGUGGGUGGGUAGGGUGCAGCAAGGAUGUGAGGAACCCUCUCGGAUAGAGAGAUUGCUGACCUACUGGGUAAGCGGUGUGAUGAUCCUUGGAUAGAGAACUUGCUCCACCAGAGUAAAUCUGACAGAUGCCGAGCUGGCGGCGGGCACCAAGUCGAAGUCCACUGACAUGCUCCUGAAGCGAAGCUGGAUCGGGUUGGUGAGAAAGUCCUUCAUGCUCUCAGGGAAAGUAAUGCCGGGGCGGGAUGCAAUCAAGCUCGCUAGGGAGGAUCUCACAAUCAUCCCUACCUGGCGCGCCAACUAUUGGAUUUAUAAGCCCGAUAGUCCACCAGGGGGUUACCCAAGUUGUUGAUUUGUAGGUGAGGGCGAUUGCGAAACCAAGAACUCUAAGGUGAUCGUGAAAACACGAAGGGACACGAAGGUUUUAGAUAGGUUGGAACCUCCGAAGAGUAAUACCCUACGUCCUGUAUGCUGGUUUGUAUUGCUUGAGAUUGAUAUGAUUGUUGGGAUACCCUUGGGGGUGCCCUUGGCCGCUUUAUAUAGGCUGACGAUCAAGAGUUACAAGUCAGUUUGAAUCUAAUCUACUCGAUAGUUACAUGGAAAGUAAUCUGAGUAGGACUAUAAUACGCGUUCCAUGAUAUUCGGCAUGUUUGAAUUGUCUUGUUGCUUUGACGUGCACUCCAAGUAACUUCAUGUCCUCAGCCCGUACGCCUUGGUCGAGUGGGCCCUACUUGUCAGGUAUGACCAGUAUCCUGAGGUACCCAUAUCUCUCACCUUGGUGCUCCGGCGAUUAGGGUCGGCAACGAGGAUGGGGAUUGGAAGAGGAGAUCGAGGGGACUUUAUGGAGAUGCUUACCGGCGGCGAGGUGGACGGAUUCCGGCUAGAAUUUGGCUGGCGGUGGAAGAACACGGCAACUGGCUCAGGUCUUCGCGAGUGAUGGUACUCCGGCGGUGGAGCGGCGACGAAGAAUGGUGGCAGAGCUGCUCCUCGAUGUCACGGAGCUCCCUAAGGCUCUAGCUUUCUUCGAUAGUCGACGGGCAUAGUGAAUCGGCCAGAGAAGGCUAGCAGCAGCUCCUAGCUCCGGCGGAUGUGGGGGAUGGCGGCGCUCGUGCAAGUAGGGAAGAGCGGCGGUGUGAGGCAGGGCAGUAGCAGGGGCACUGUCUCGACUUUUAUAGGUGUGUGGGUCCGCGCCUGCCUUGGCACGCACGCCGAGGUUCGGCGGUGGCGACGCCCAAGUGCAGCUACGCUUGGCCUUGACCCGCUAGUGGCCGAUGGGCCUAGCGAGCCUAGCCGAGCCAUCAGCUGGGCCGAGUCGGUGCAGGUUGGCUGGAGAGGGUCGGGCUACAAAGACUUGGCCCGAUCGAUUAGGAUUUUGCUUUUUUAGAAAUGAUUUCUCAUGAAAGAAAAAUCUAGAAAAAUUCUAGAUAAUUAAUUUAAAUAACGAAAAAAACCCUAAAAAUCCAAAAUUCCAGGAAAAAUCCUAGAGAUAGUUUGGGACAUGAGGAGUCCAAAUAAAAUACUUGGAGCUCAUGAAAAGGAUUCUAGAACCUUCCAAAAAUUGGAUUUAGCUAUAGAAAAAAUGAGAAUAAAUCUCAAAAAAUCUGGAAAUUCUCAUAAGAACCUAAUCGGCAUCUAAACGCAUUCCAAAAUAUUUGCACUUAUGAAAUACCAAGAUGCAUCGGUAUGAAUGCAACACAUACGGAGAACCAUUAUAUUUAAUUCAGAAAAACACUCAAUUAUUUCCCUAUACUAAAUUUCCUGUCAAGAAAAUAAAUGUUGGAAAAAUUUUAAAAUUAUGAGAAAAACAUUGUUUAAUUAUUAUUUUUAAUCUGAAAGUUCAAAAAUUUUAAGGUGUGGCAGAUACCCUCAGGUUUACAGAAUUUGACAUCCAUGUGCAAAUUGGAUGUAUCCUUCAAUGAUCUGCAAGGUGAAGUGCCAAUAGGGCUUUUUUUUUGCAAAUGCAUCUUACAUGUCGGUUUAUGGAAAUGAUCAGCUUUGUGGUGGAAUACGUCAACUUCAUUUAGCUCCAUUCUCCAUGUCCAGUGCAAAAAAGAAAAAAAAGGAAAUUUGUCGAAAACCCUUGUGAUCACCCUAACAUCAAUCAGUGCAGUUGUAUUCUCAGUUUCAGUACUUGCUGUAAUUGUGUUGAUCUGUAAGAAGCUUAGGAAAAGGCAUGAAAGUCAACUCAUAUCCACAACUGAGGAACGGUAUGAAAGAGUUUCUUAUCAUGCUUUGUCAAAUGGGACCAAUGGAUUUUCAGAGGACAAUUUACUUGGACAAGGAAGCUAUGGCAUGGUUUAUAAAUGUACUUUACAUGACCAGGGUACUACUGUAGCUGUAAAGGUGUUUAACAUAGAACAAUCUGGGACUUUUAGAAGUUUUGUCGCUGAAUGCGAGGCACUCAGAAGGGUGCAUCACCGUUGUCUCGUAAAGAUCAUCACUUGUUGCUCAAGCAUCAAUCACCGGGGUCAAGAGUUCAAGGCACUAGUUUUUGAGCUCAUGCCAAAAGGUAGCCUAAAUGGUUGGCUUCACGCAGAGUCUGACACACUUACCCCGACAGAUACUCUGAGCCUUGAACAAAGGCUACACAUUGCUGUCGAUAUCAUGGAUGCUUUGGACUAUCUUGAUAAUCACUGUCAGCCAUCAAUCAUUCAUUGCGAUCUCAAGCCAAGCAACAUCUUUCUUGCGGAAGACAUGAGUGAGUGCCCGAGUUGGAGGUUUUGGCAUAUCAAGAAUCCUUCCAGAAAGUGCUAGUAAAACCCAGCAAAAUUCGAAUAGCACAACUGGAAUAAGAGGCACCAUUGGUUAUGUUGCACCAGGUAAUGAAAGAGAUGGUUUUGGUAUUUGAAAAAUGUUCUUAGUUCUUAUGUAUACAUGAGCUGCUGACCUUUGGCUUUUUUUUUUCCAAUAAGAGUAUGGUGAAGGUUCUUCUGUCUCAACUCAAGGUGACGUUUAUAGCCUCGGCAUAUUGCUGCUUGAGAUGUUUACUGGAAGGAGCCCAACGGAUGAGAUAUUCAAUGAUUCUUUGGAUUUGCACAAGUUUUCAGAGAAUGCUCUUCCAGAGAGAAUAUGGGAUAUAGUUGAUCCGACAAUAUGGAUGCACACAGAUGCCUAUAACAGCACUAUAAGAAGUGGAAUUAAGAAUUGCUUGGUUUCUGUUGUUUCUCUUGGAAUAUCAUGCUCGAAGAAACAACCUAGGGAGCGGAUCCCGAUUCAGGAUGCAGCCAUUGAGAUGCACGCUAUUAGAGAUUCGUAUCUCAAGUUUGCCAGAUCUCUUUUGGUGGAGCAUGGAGUAGUAGCAACAACUCACAGUGAUUUCCCACAACAGUGAAUACAUAGGACUGAAAAUGGGCAAGAUGUCUGCAGGUGAUCAGUUUACCUGAAAUAACUGAAGAUGUAUGAAGCUUCAGCUUUAUAAUUCGUCCUUGCAUUUGUUUGCAUCAGAUAUAUGGAAGUAUAAAAUAAGUUUAGAAAAUGUUUCAAAAUAGAUUAGAUCAAGAGGUUUUACUUGUCGUCUGUAUGACACAUUUUUUGUAGAGAAUUCAGUAAUAUGUAUGAUUCAUAAUACAAUCAAUGCUCUGCAAAUUUCAGAUAGCACAAUUGGAAUAAAAAGCUCAUUCAUUGAUUAUGUUGCUCUAGGUGACUCAACUUAUUGUGAUGUUCACUGUAGAUUUCUCCAUGGUCCAAACGACCAUUGUGAUCAGUUAUGUUUAUGCAUUUUGUAGACUUGUUAAGUCUUUCCCUAACUUGCUGACAUAUCAGCCGGAGCAGAGCACUCUGCCAUUCUGCGCCACUCGCCUCUAGGCGGCGCUUGCCGCUUGGUGGCUGCGGUGGCGACCGGCGGCAUCCGUACCUGCUCUGUCGGAGGCUGAGGGGCACAAUUACGUCUUGGAGUCGCCACCGCGCGACCUUCGGAGCUCGCCCAUGCCUCGUCGGUACGAGCUCAGUCGCGCGGUGAAUGGCAUGCGCAUCUGGGGUCCCGUCAGCUGCAGGUGCAGAUGGGUAGAGAGCUUAGCUGCGCUAGGUCUUCAGAAGAUGUUGAGUGGGCUGGAUGGGGCUUUGCGGCUCUGAAUGGCGACGCGGGCAGGACGACGACGCUGGACGCGUGGGGAGGAGACGACCUGAACCAGGGGCAUUUCGGAUAAUAGUCGGAUCGCGAUCAAUAAUCGCAAUCCAAAUUAGGGGGCUAUUUACAAAUAAUAGGGGGUAUUCCGUAAAUAUUCGGUUCGCGAUCAUUAAUCGCGAUCCAAAUGAGGGGUUAAUUGAAAAUAUGAUGGGGGUGUCUUUUGAAAUUCCGGAUUGCGAUCCCAUCCUCCGCCGCGGCUCGCCGGAGCGCCGCCAGACGCCGGCCGUCCCUUGGGGUACCUCUUCUUCGUUCCGUCUGUCGGAGCCCUAAGACGCGGUCGGUGUUUUAUCUGACAAGGAACCCUGAAGUCCGAACUAACUGAAGAAAGACAUGAUGCUGACCUGGAAGAAGAAGACGGCCUCGCCAUGGCCGGAUGCGGCGCGGUGGAAGGACAGUGUGUUGGCGGAGCGGAUGUUGUCCGACGUGAACUCGCCAGCGGCGUGGUCCACCACAUUCCGUCGACGGGCGGUGCACUUGCUGUCGCCUGUCGGCUACUUCCAGGCAGUAGCUGAGCUUCAGAGUUCAGACAGGGUGCUUGUGCUUGCAACAAGUUCAGAACGAUGUCAUUGCUUUGAUGCAGAGGAUGGAGCAAACCGGUUGCAAAUUGGAUUCUGAUACAUAUAACUUAAUAUUGAACCUUUAUGUCGAUUGGAAAUAUGAGAAGGGGUGCCCCAAAUAUGGGAUGAGAUGGAGAGGAGUGGAUCAGGCCCAGAUCAACGAUCAUUUACUAUUAUGGUUCAUGGUCUUCAUUCCCAAGGAAAGCUUGAUGAGGCUCAACAAUGAAGUCAAGAGGGUUGAUCCCUGAACCAAGGACCAAGAUACUGGUGAAAGCUAUACAUAUGAAGAAAGAUGGGGCUGUCACAGAAGAUCAGUCUGUAAAUAUGACAGGGAAGAAUCUAAAACUGGAUCCACGAUCUAGACUAUUCCAUGUUCAUAAAUAGUUUGCUGUCAGAUCUUACUUCUAUAACCUGAACAGAGGAUUGCUGGGCACGUAUUAUGUGUCAAAAGAAUCUCUUCUACCAGUGUCCUGAUCACAAUGGCCACACCUUGGGCUACAAUAAAUCAUCAGCAAAGUGUGUUGGCAUUAUGUAUCCCAGAAAGUUUUGCUCAGACUUUCAAUGCCAGGGUAUGUUUUUUAUGUCUGAUAUGGAUCAAUUAUAUUGCAAGUACUGUAUUACACCCUCGUAUUAUGAAGGUUAUGUGAAAUAUGACAGAUGUUUGUUUAUUCAUUUGUUAUGCAUGGCUGUGUCUACUAUCUAGUUGUUGGCUUGUUGCCAACAUAUGCAGCAGCAGGUAGCUUCAGCCGCUCAGAAGCCCAAAUGAAGAAUGGUCCAGGCAGAAUAGCUAGUCUAGACCCAGAAAGCUUAGGACAUGUCUUGCCAGCCUGCAGUUUUGUACUCGUAGCACCAACCAUCUCCGGGUUCUGGCCGGUUAUAUACAUGGUCUGGAAUGGGCAUCCGCUGAUCGAUUGAAACCUUGAACUGCUUCCGUGUUUGUCUUUUACCAUCUAUAUAGUAUGGUUAGUCAACGGCAUGCAAUACACCCAUGCAUAUGAUUGCAGUAGGAUGACAUGGCGUGACCAGAACCCUUCUUUUGCCAGUUUUUUAUUCUUAUACACGGCCAACAACAGGGAGUUGCCGAUUGCAAUACACCCAUGCUACUAACGCAGCAGGGAGUUGCAUGCUAAGCAGUUCAGCGUAGGUGGUGAGUUCUCAACUCUGAUAUGGUUUAUGGAAGAACACUGUCACGGUGUCACCUAGCCGGUUGGAGGCCAACCUCUUACUAGGGACAGCAAUGGCCCUGUCCACUGUUUCGUGGCUGGUAUUAUUACCCCUAUGCAGUGAAUAUGACAUGUGGAUCUAUGUGUAUAUUAUGUCGCCAGAAGAACAUUAUAUGAACCGUUGAGCCACCUUUGAUUCUAUUAAUGUGUCAUGGUCAAUUGAUGUCAAACUCUAUUAUCUUCAAGUCUUAUUGUAUUGAUAAAAUCACGAUGCUGCUACUGCCAUUUUGAUGUUUAUAAAAGGGUAUUGAGAACCUGGUGGGUAUCCAUUCGAUGCGCAGGGGUGAGGGUGGGGAAAAAUGAGUGUAAAGGACAGGGAUACAGUAUUUAGAAAGAUGGGGCUGCCACAGAAGAUAGUCUCCAAGUACGGCAGGGAAGAAUCUAAAAACUGAUUCCUUGAUCAAGACUGUCCCGUAUUCAUAAAUAGUUCACUGACAGAUCUUGCUUCCAUAUUCUGAACAGCUGAUGCUGGGUACAUAGGAGGUUAACCGGUCAGCGGAUCGAAGGAAAAAAAAAUCUUGCCUGUCAGUGUCCACAAUGGCCUCAUCUUGGGUUAGAGACAAUCAUCCCUAAAGAAUCAUAUUGCCGGAUAAGGUUAUCAGUGAUUGGUAGGUGCAGAUCCAUGCUCAUCCUAGAAACAAGCCAGGGCUGAAUGCGCCACUCAUUUUAGGUGCUUGGAUGUUGUGACCGAAAUGAUCGUGUGUUUAAUGGAGUUUCCCAUAGUGACUAGCGUACAGGCUGUCCUCGUAUUCGAGAAAAAAAAUAAUGGGCGAAAUGUUUUCACCCAGGUAAUUGUUGCAUUGUAUGAAUAGGCUUAGUGGUUGGUGGGUGCAGAGUAUGAAUGUGCUUGUACUGUGACACAAGAAGAUUUAUCAUAUCUAUGUAUGAAUUAGUAUUAAAUCUGCUACAUAAAUAUCUUCUCUUAUCUCAUUGUAUGUGUAUAUAUGACACAGAAGCACAUGUAUAUCAGCAUUGUAGAGAGAGAUGAGAGAGAAGCUUAUCUGCUUUUUGGAGAUAAAUAUUCAAAUUGUGGUGUAUGAGAAGGAUAGAAUUAUUCUAUCAAAUUGUUUAUUCAACAUCUAAAAAGAUUCCAUGUUUAGUCAUCUAUAUCGGCAUUGUAGAGAGAGACUAGUGUUCAACUGGUUGGAAGGAUGAGAGAGAGAGGAGAGAGAGAGGAUGAAUAGUGUUCAGCUGGUUGGAAGGAUGAGAGAGAGAGAGGAGAGUUUCGAUGAUAGAGAGAUUAGUGUUCACCUGGUUGGAAGGAUGAGAGGGAGAUGAGAGAGUUCGGAUGAGGAGGUGGAGAGUUCGGAAGAGAGAGAGGUGAGAGUUCGGAUGAGAGAGAAACAGCUUAGAAGGAUGAGAGAGAGAAAGUGAUAUUUAGCUGGAUGGUGGAGACUUCAUAUAUUACUAACUAGCAAGGUGUCCGUGCGUUGCUACGGUGAAACGACGUUGCUUAGCACGCGAUGUUUUUUAUCGUGUCGUGUAGCGCACCAUAUUUUUUAUCGUGUUGUGUAACUUUUUUAUUUUAGUAGUAUUAGACUUUUCAUAUAUAAAGGGUCACGUGAGUGUGUCCAUAUCCCAACCGUGCGGAAACCGCUUGCCAUCGAACUUGUUAUCUCUUUCUCUAUCUUGAGAUUGGUAUGCUUCUACAGCAAUUCUGCACAAAGAAGGCCCCACUUCGCCCCGUUCCCGCCGUCCGGUUAGUCCCACGCCUACCCUCUCCCUCUCUGAUCCUCGCUGUCGGCUCCUCGAGGUCCAGGUCGGGCUUGUGAUGUAGCGGCCUGUUAUCCUUCCACCAUUGGAAGCGGGUAGUGAUCGCUGCUCUGUGAACCCUGCCUCACGCCGUUCCUACCACUCCAGGUCCAGUGAAGCCUGAGCUUUCGCUUGGACAAACAGCCACUACCAACUUGGAACGGGCAGGGCCAGCAAGGGCAUACAAUGGACCCAAGCCCUCCGCACCCAAACAUCCACACCACUUUAAUGCCUCCACUUGGGUUACAAGCCCGCGCAACCAAGCUCGGUGAGGAUGACUCGUGAGGAUGAACAUUUAAGUUGGUGUGGCGCUGCUUCAGAUGGCGAGGUGGUACUAAUCUAAGGAAUAGGAAAAUUUCACAUGGGUCCCACACCGCACCCAGCCCUAUCCUUAUCCUUUCUCAUCUCUCUAUCGUCCGUCCGGUCCUUAUCCUCUUCAUCUCAUCUCUCUCUCUCUCCCUAUCUCUCUCUCAAACUCUCUAUCUCGCCUACCCCCUCUUUCUCUGGAGAAGGCGGUGCACGGCUGGCCCCAGUGAUGGCCUGGGGGCGCGGGGUGCCAAUAGCGGCCGAGGGUUGUAGGGCUGCGGCGAGGAGCCUCCCAGCCGUGGAUGCGACGGCCUAGCCAUGGGCACCGGGCAGGCGGCUCUGGCACGACCGGCUGGGGCGGGCAGGGAGAGGCGAACAGCAGUGCUACGACGUCACGAAGAGGCGGACGUCGGGCAUGGGCGGGUGAAAGGGGAGACGGGGAAAGAAAGCUAGACCCACCUAUCAAUGCGUUAAUCUUACCUAUUAUUAAACAUCAGGGCCACCUCUCGUUGAUAGAAGUUGGACCAAACAAGAAAAAGUGGGCAGAAGUGUUCCUCACUUUAAUAAUAAUAAUAAUAAAGUAUAGAUAAUGCAUCCAAACAACAUUCGAAAUUUAAUUUUAAAAAAAACUUUCUCGGUACAUCCAAACAAGAAAAUUCAAUUGAAUUAAAUUCUACUAAAUCCAUUUCUUAUGGAAUCUAAUAGCUAGAAUAUGAUUCAUGGGAUGAGUUUCAACUCUAGGGAUCUAAACAUGCCCUUAGUUAUUUCUUAUGUAGCUCAAAUCAGAUGCAAGGUAUGUCCUAACUAAAAAACGUAAGUUACUUUGUGUUAUCUCGUGAAUCAGUGAUUAAUUACUUCCGAUCACUAGUAGAGAAUUGGCUUUCGAUGCGCCCCCUUUUGUCCCGGUUUAAAGUUGGCCCGGGACAAAAGGUUCACCAACCGAGACUAAAGCUCGGUCACUGGUGGGGGGCUCACCAACCAGGACCUUUUAUCCCGGUUGGAAAGGCUAGUGGGAAAAAAAGAUCAUGAGAGGCUUUUUAUCCCGGUUUGAAACACCAACCGGGAUAAAAGACCCAUCUAACUAUAUAGGGGAUGUUACCAACCAGGAUAAAAAGGGUCGAGAGCCUUUUAUCCCGGUUUGUAAUACCAACUGGGAUAAAAGGGGGUCAUUUAUCCCGGUUGGUGUUUCAAACCGGGAUAAAAGGGUCCCAACGAGGUGACUGAAACAUGACUAAAUCCUGAACCCUUUUAUCCCGGUUUGUAAUACCAACCGGGAUAAAAGGGGGUCUUUUAUCCCGGUUGGUGUUUCCAACCGGGAUAAAAGGGUCCCCCACAAGUUAAUACAAAACGAUAACAUCCCCUAUAUAGUUAGAUGUGGUGUGUAGGUGGGAUGGCAAGGAAGCUACGCGCGAGGCUGGAGGUUGUGGGUUCGAAUCCCAUGCAGCGCGCACGCGCAUAUUUCGCGUGGAAAAUCGCGUGACUUGCGACGCGCGUGUGGGGGGCCUCCUGGGAGCUCGGAAUUUCUUUUUUUUGUUUUAUCCCGGAUGGAUUUUCGGAAGAUUUGCACCCUACCAAUCGGGACUAAAGGUCAAUUCUCUACUAGUGAAUCUUAUGUAAAAAGAACUACGAGUUAAAUUCUUUGUCAGAUUUAUACUGACAAGUUACAAGCACAUGCCUCUGCAGUAACAGGCCAGCCCUAGACUAGCGGGCAAACAAAAACAACAUGAUUCGUCAACUGAUCGAAUGUUAAUGACUAUUUUGCUAGGAGAAUGAACAUGAUUCAUAAAAAAAGGGGAGCUACUAACUUGGUCAAGGUCUCCGUCCUCUAGCGUGGCGAAGGGGCCAUCUUGCUCCACUCCACGUCUGCGUGGUUGCUAGGUGGGCGCGACGGCGGCUGCGGAGUGCGGACGGGCGCGUAGAUGUGUCAUUGUUGAUCAGGACAUGCGCUUCUAUCACCGUCUGUGGUUGGCGUCCGCGGCCGAGCGGGUCAAGGUCUCCGUCCUCUAGCGUGGGGAAACAGGAUCUCUUCAAUCAGUGCUUCUACAGAAACGGUGCACGGUCACCACGGACCAACGACAUACCAUGAGAAAAGCGGAGCUAAAUGUUGCAGUAGCAGAGUAACCGGAGACUGGAGAGCACUUGCUGCUAAAAGCUGCCUCUUAUUUUGUAUCGUCUUUAACAGAAGACUUUAAGUCAACCGCCAUUCGAUUCCAAUAUAAACUAGCAAGUUGGCCCGCGAUGAUAGCACGGCUAGAUUUGAUACAAUAUAACUUUUUUAAAUGCUAUGUUAGCUUAGUAUAUUUCUUCGUCCCUCUUGAUUUGUUUUUCAUCCUCUUGAAAUCACUUAGUAUACUUAGGUGCCUUACUCUACACAUUGAGUAUCAAGCCAUAUGUGUAUAUUUGUUUUUUUUUGCAAAUGAACUCCGAUGCCACAUGUGCAUAUGCACGCCUAAUUAAAAUUGCUCACUUGUAACAAAAUAACAAGAGUAGUUGAUUCUGAUCUUAUGUUGCAGUUUUUGCCAACUUUUCCUAGUAUUAUUGUGUUGAGUAGAAAGCCUGUGUAGAAAAAGAUACAAAACAAACAAUCGUGUUAACUACUCCCCAUACUUGCUCAAAUGAUUUUGAAAAAUAAAAACAACCGCGCUCUAAGUCCUAGGUGGUGAUAUUCCUCCUUACUUUCCUCCUCUCGUUUUCCUUGCACAAUCGAGGAUGACAAAUACCACAAACCACUUAGGCUCGAUCAUGUUUCAUCAUCACAUUCCUCAAAUCUUGAUCACGUUGUUGUCUUCAUUAUGCUAGCAGUACACAUCUCUCCGCCUCUUCUCACUGGUAGAGAAUUGGCCUUUAGUCCCGGUUGAUAGGGUGCAUAUCUCUCGGAUAUCCAUCCGGGAUAAACCAACCGGGACAAAAGGGAGGGUCUUUAGUCCCGGGUCUUUUAACCGGGAGUAAAGGUCCUCCUUUAUUUCCCAACCGAGACUAAAGGGUUACCCUUUAGUCCCGGCUGGAUUCCAACCAGGAGUCCCGGCUGGAUUCCAACCGGGACUAAAUGGCGCCUGCAUGGCACUGCCGUGGCGCCUGAAUUUUUCAUGCAUGCAUCACGUACGUAGUACCGCGACCCUUUUAAUUUGUUAAACUUUAGUAGUUGAGAUUUUUUUAGAACGAAAUCAACUAGUAUUUAAACGAAUGGGAUUUGUAAUUAUACAAUUACUAUAUAUGUACACAAUCCUUAUACACAAUUCAUAUACACAAUUCAACUAGCUUAGUACAAAUUGAUCAUAAUUAGCGCGUAUUAUAUAUACAAAUAAAUCAAAGUAUCUGUCUACAAUCUUCCCGUCGUGGUGUUGCUGAUCGGAGUGUCUAAUUGUCGUCCAUCGUAAUAAAAUUCUCCUUUUGGAUUUACCACCUUGUCCAUUAUGAAUCCAAUGAGACUUUCACAUAUUGCCGCUACUCUUUCUUCCUUCAAGAGUCCUUGUUGAAUAUUUAACAUCUAUAAUUUGGAAAUUUUUGAAUGUUACACGAACAAAUACAUAUAAGGAGCUAGAAAAUAAUUAACUAGUAAUAGUUUUAUUUUACGUACUUUAAAGUUGUGCGGCGUCAUCUUCGGUCCCUUGGGUCCCAUAAAACUGUGCAUGUGCUCACAGAUGUAGUAGCCACAUAGAUUAUUUCCGGGUUCCUGUCUUAAGCACUUCAGUGCGGAAAAAAAUAAGUUAUGAAAUAUUCGUAUUAUACAAUGUAAUAAAUGUGCAGACUUCAUACGUACCGGGAAGUCUGUGUUCCAUGUAAGUUUUUCUUUGAAUGGACCUUUGUGUGUCCUUAUGAAUUGUUUCCAUGCGCUGCAGAUUAGAAUAAUGAAUGAUAUAGUGUAACAGGAAUAAAAUUUAGGAAAUAAACUUUUGCAUAUAGAUAAAGGUACAGAAUUAUUACAAGCCUAGCAUGUCUUGCACUUCUUGGUAGUCCACCGGAUCUUUCCUUAACGAAUCGAAGACAGUGACGUGGCUUCUUUCAGGCUCAAUUAUAAUAAGAAUCCAGUGGAAGCUGCGUGCGUAAAAUGUUCAUGCAUAUUAGAGCUAACUAACAUGUAGAGAUAAGGAAAAAGACAUCGAAAGUAGACGGUAUACACACACUUACUUGAAGUUGUAUGGAAGUAGUAUGAAAUCCUUGAAUGUUUGUUUGUCUAGGAAAUUGUAUAUUUCCGCAAAGGUUUUUUCCGGUGCUAAUUGUGUCUGUUGUUGGUUAACUACAGAUGGAUCCAUGAAGCCUACAUGUAGGUACGCCUCUCGGCGGCAUGUCUGAAUUAGCAUCCUACAUGAAAUGGAAGAUGAAGUUAGUACGGUGACGCAUGCCAAAAUUUACAUGUAGAGAUAAACGGACACUUACAGAACCUAAGCGCUGAUCAGAGAGACGUCCAGGGCAUCAUGAUGGUACACUUCGUAUAUAUCCUUGAAGUCUAGCCACAGCACUUUCUCCCCUUCACCGUGAAAAUCUAUCGGUUUUACCUUCAUGCCGAUCAUCUCCCUCGAGUCGGCGGAUGCCAUCAUGUACCAUUGAUGGAAUGCGUACAUCUUUGUUGAUAGCUUCCGUACCAAUGAAGGCUUUACUAGAGGUUUGCCUAGCUCAUAAGGCCAUCUCAGCUCAGGGGGCGGUGCAGUUGGCGUCUCAACUUGCCCUAUGCAUUCAUCAAGUCCCAGACCUGUUUCUUCCAUGAACUUCAAUACAUUUGCUUGUUGAUCCAAGGGCAUUGCUUUUACCCGUUGAGCAUCUUUUUUUGAUAAAUGGCUGAGGUCGGGGACUGGACCGCUGGAAGAUGACUUUCCUUUCCUUUUAUCCUUUUCAUCAGCCUUUACUAGAGCCCGUUCAUAGUUUGACAAGAGUGGUAUCCUUUUCUUGGCUCCUUCUUCUAUCCUGAUAAAAAAGUUUAAAUCUCGCCGACUUACUGGCGGUGGCUCCAUCUCCCUUACUUUUUUUUCUUCGGCUUGUUUCUUGAACCACUCACUGGCCUCUCGUUGGAUUUCUGCCCACUGUUCCGCAUGAGACAUUGCCUCCCAGCGUUCCUUACGAGUCACUUCAGGCUCCUUUGUUUUCUUCUUUCUCUGUCUUUGCUUGGGAGGCGGUGCUCGUGACUUCUUUAGUGGUGGUGCAGGUUCCUUCAAGGGGGCCGCUCUUGGUGCCGGCGACGGUGAUCGGGGAGGGGUGUUGUUAUUGUCGUCGUCGCUCCCAGCACCAGGAUGUAGUGGAGAUGGAGACCUUGAUAUAGAUGGAAGGGACGGUCCUGGAGCAGGAGAUGACGGUCUCGAGGUAUGAGGAGAAGGUCGCUGCUGGGGAUCUACGGGGAGCGGUCUUAAGGUCUGAGGAGAUGGCUCCGUGCUGGGAAUAAUGAUGUAGCGUUUUUGCCAUAGAAUAAUCCCAUGAAGCGCAUCUGCCAAUGUCUUUUCCCCGUCGCCUCCCGGGAAGUCGAGCUCUAGACCUUCAUACUAGGGAUCAACUAUUUGCUCUACGCAGACGCUGGCGUAGCCUGUUGGAAUUUCCAUGCCAUGACUGCUCUGCCCCGCCAGGGUUGCUAACGCACUCCCGUACGCUACCUGUACAUAUAGCAGAAGUAAACAAGUUGAACUCCGAUCUCGAGGCCUGGAUCAAUUGACAAGAUUGCAUAAAUAUUAUGUAUAAGUAUACCUUAAUAGUGAGGUUGCCGACCGGUGCAUGCAGCUCACAUGAGGUCCGUUGUGUGAUGGCAUCCACGGGGAACCGUUGCUCCUCCACGGGUAACCUGGGCGUCUGCGCAUCGGGGACCCCUGUAGAAGCACAACUGCUCAAGAGGCGUUGAGAAGGGCUGGCGGUGUUAGGAAUCGGCAAUGCUCCAGAUUGGGCCAACUCCGCAACUGCGUGGGCCACCCGCCGAUUGGUUUCAUCCAUCAUUCUUUGUUCUUGUGCCUGCACUUUAGAUUCUAGCAUCUGCCGCCAGCUCUCCUCGAUCUGUUCCUUUCUUCGCUUCCGGCUUCUGUACGAGGUGCUGUCGCCUCGGAAAGCAAACUUCCACGGAACCACCCCGAACCCUCGGCAACGUCCUGGGUGUUCUGGAUUACCGAGGGCCAAUGUGAGCUCAUCAUUUUCUCGGUCCACCUUCAACCUCCCAGCCUUAGAAUCUUCAAUGUUCUUCAUGAGAUGUUCGGCCUUCUCACGUAUUGUGUCAUUAAAAAUCAACGUCCCAUCCUCUUGGCUUAGGGAGCCUCCAUGAGCGUAGUACCAAUUUUUUGAUCGUUCGGGCCAUUCAAUAGUUGCAGGUACGAUUCCCCGUUCGAUCAGAUCUUGUUCCAUCUUCCUCCACUUGGGAAUUGCUGAGCCAUACCCACCUCGCCCCAAAUGAUGGUGGUAGCCCUUCUGACUAGCAUUUGCUGUGUUGGUCGUGAUCUUUUUCACACCGUCUUCACUCCUCUUAUAUUCAACAAAUGCAUCCCAGUGGUCCCUCAACUUUGGCCACGCGUUGAAGUCUAGAGUUCGGCCCUUCUUGAUGUAGUGGGUAUCCAGCAUCUUCUUGAAUGUCUGGAAUUGAGUAGCCAUCUUCUUAAGCGUCCACGCUUUGACAUCCUUCUCACUAUAUCCUUCGGGGAAUGUGAAAUGUCUCUUCACGUCUUCCCACAGCAUAUUCUUUUCUGUCUCCGGAAGGGCGUACGGAUUAGUGCUUCUGCCCUUCCAUUCUCUGAUGCUGAUAGGCACGUUGUCCCGGACGAUUGCCCCGAUCUGACUCACGUACUUCUUUGCUACUUUCUCGGGAGCAACCGGCCUGCCCUCUUCUGUCACUUCCGUGAUGACAAGCCUCCCUUCCAUCACCUUUGUACAACCUUGGGUCUUCUGCCCUUGUGUCGAUCCGGAGGGCUAACAUUUUAAGAUUCGUUAAUUAGUACGUAGUAGUAACAGUGGCGUGAAACAAUACAAGAAUGGUUAUAUAUACCUCGCCGGAACCUUCCGCCACGGCAAGUUGUUGCUGCGGCUAAUGCUCUUCAUUCCCAUCGGUGGACAUGUUGAGGAACAUGUCCGCCUGGGUGCCCUCUUCAUCCGUGUAUGAUAGUGGAACGUUCUCGCCACUACCAUCACCAGCGAUUAUCUGCUCCAUGAUAUACCUUGCGGUCUCAUUGUCUGCCAUUUCAACUAUUGAUGGAAACAUACAUGGAAUCAUACAUGACAGUCAUAGAAAUCGUCUUACUACAAAUUUCUACAAAGUCCUACAAAGUCCGGAAUCAUACAUGUAUAUAAUGAAAUCAUAAAAUAACAUGAAUCCUACAAAGUCCGGAAUAUUUCUACGAAUUUCUACGAAUUUCUACGAAUUUCUACGUUCUAUGAAUUUCUACGAAUUUCUACGAAUAUCCACAUGCGGUGCCUAGGUUGUGACGGCGGCGAUCAGGGCGGCGGAGGCGGGGACGGUUCCCUGGAACCACGGGCGGUGCCUAGGUUGUGACGGCGGCGGUCAGGGCGGCGGUACGGCGGAGGCGGGGACGGUUCCCCGGAACCACGGGCGGUGCCUACUAGGUUGUGACGGCGGCGAUCACGGCGGCGGGACGGCGGAGGGGACACAUAUACAAAAAUAUAACUUAAAAAAAAUCUAACUUAAAAAAAAAUCUAACUUAAAAAUCUAACUUAAAAAUCUAACUUAACAAUCUAACUAAAAAAUCUAACUUAAAAAUAUAACUUAAUUUUCUAACUUAACAAUCAAAAUUAAAAAUCUAUCAUAAAAAUAUAACUUAAUUUUCUAACUUAAAAAAAAAGCCCUCCCAAUGCUGCCGGCCGGCGCGGCGGCGGACCUCUCGCGCGCGGUCGUCGACGGUGGCCGGGGCGACGAGGGGGCCGGGCGGCGGGACGGCGGCGGCCGGUGCGGCGAGGACGGCGGCCGAGGCGACGACGACGGCGGCGGCGUAGGCGGGACGGCGGCGGCGUAGGCGGGACGGCGACGAGGGGCGACGAGGCGGUGACGAGGAUGGAGGCGGUGACGAGGAUGGAGCCGGCGACGAGGAUGGAGCCGGUGGCCGGAGGCGACGAGGUGGGGGCCGGGCGCGUCGACGGACGAGGAGGAUCGAGGCGGGCCGGCCGGGGGGAUGGAGGACGACGAUGUCUGGGCGCGAUCGGCGGCAGGACGACGACAAACGGCGCAAUGGGGGAUGACGACGGCGGCGGCCGGCGAGGGAGGCGGACGGGCGGCGACGGCGGAGCAGAACGCGUGGAACUUGGCGAAAAUUUUGCUAAGUGUAACUGGCGGGGGGUAGAAGGGAGUACAGUGCCUUUUAAACCCCCCCCUUAUCCCGGUUCGUAAUGGUACCCGGGACAAAAGGGUGCCCCCGCCAGGUGGGGCUGGGAGCGUACCCUUUUAUCCCGGGUGCCACCACCAACCGGGAUAAAAGGGGGGGGGCCUUUUAUCCCGGUUGCAGUUGGCAACCGGGAUAAAAGGGUACGUCCGGGCGGGAGACGAAAAGUACCCUUUUAUCCCGGUUGCCGUUUGCAACCGGGAUAAGCAACCGGGAUAAAAGGGGGCCUUUUGUCCCGGUUGCUGUUAGCACCCGAGACAAAAGGUCUUUUUUCCUAGUUUUCUUCUCCCGCCUGUUUUUUGAAAUGGAUUUUAUUUUAUCUUUUCACUACAUUUCAGGAUGAAAAACAAAACCUUCACAGAUUUUGUACAUGCAAAAAUAUAUUUAAUUAACAAGUAAAUUGACAAUAAGUAUGAAUUAAUCAUUAAUUCUAUACCAGUUCAUUUAGCCUCUAAAAUAUUUAUUUUACUGCGUUGCUGUGAUUAAGAAAUUAUUCAAUUAAAUAAUUUCAAUGCGUAGAAAAAUCCAUGUUUGUAUGUGGUUAACAUUGUUCAUGUUUAUCUAAAAAAUCUUCACCUAACAAAUUUAAGAACACAUGAAAUCAUACAUAGGGUAAAAUUACAAAUUGUAUCGAUUAAUACACAAAGGUCAUGUACAUUUAACGCAUUACAAUACAACGUUGUAAAAUUUCUUCUUCACGAAAGUUCCUUGAUCAUGAUCGCGACGUAAGUACGGAGCCUCUUCUUUGGAUAGCAGGAUGCUUGGAUCAACUUCAACAGCGAAUGGAGGCAUGCCAUCAAACUGAUCAUAAUCAUCUGAUUGGUCUGUUUUAUCCUCGACUCCCACGAUUUUUCUUUUACCUGGAAGAACUAUGUGGCACUUUGGCUCCCAUGUCUCUUCUGGAUUCCUCUUGGGUUUGCUGCACAUGUCCUUCACAUAGAACACCUGAUCCACAUCAUUGGCAAGUACGAAUGGGUCAUCACUGUAUCCAGUCUUGCUCAGAUCUACUAUUGUCAUUCCAUACUGAUCUUUGGUGACGGUAGUUAGCUUCACCCAAUUGCAAAGAAAUAGAGGGAUGUACAGCGGUCCGUAUUCGAGUUCCCAUAUCUCCUGUAUGAAACCAUAAUACGACUCCUUGCUAUUAUUUCUGUCCAUGGCAUCUAUGCGGACACCACUAUUCUGGUUUGUGCUUUUCUGGUCCUGGGCUCUCGUGUAAAAUGUGUAACCAUUUAUCUCAUAGCCUUGGAAUUUGACGAUUGUGCUAGCAGGUCCCCUGGCUAACUAGGCAAGCUGUGGGUGAAUCUCAGAGUUAUCCAUAAGUUGUUGGCGCAACCAGGAGGGAAAAGUUUCCAUGUGAUGACGGGUAAGCCAAGCAUCGGAUUUGGUCGGGUUUUUUGAAGCUACUAUCUGUCUGUGCUGCUCGAUAUACGGAGACACAAAGGAUGACUGUUGUAGAACAGUGUAGUGUGCCUUGUCGAACAAAUCAGUAUCAUUGCUCAAACUUGAUUUCCUUCCAAGGGUGCCCAUUCCUCGGAGCCUCCCCUCGUGGCGUGAAGUUGGAACCCCAAUCGAGUCAAUUGAAUCAAUAAAAUCAACACAAAACUCGAUCACCUCCUCUGUUCCAUAUCCCUUGGCGAUGCUGCCUUCUGGACGGGCACGAUUAAGAACAUAGUUUUUUAGGACUGCUAUGAACCUCUCGAAAGGCCACAUAUUGUGCAGGUAUACAGGUCCGAGAAUACCAAUCUCUUUUACUAGGUGAACCAGUAAGUGCGUCAUAAUAUUGAAGAAGGAUGGUGGAAAUAACAACUCAAAACUGACAAGACAUUGCACCACAUCGUUCUGUAGCUUUGAUAGCUUGGAUGGAUCGAUUGCCUUCUGCGAAAUCGCAUUGAGAAACGCGCAUAGCUUUACGAGCGGCAACCGGACAUUUUCUGGUAGAACACCCCUCAAUGCAACCGGAAGCAACUGGGUCAUCAACAUGUGGCAGUCAUGAGCCUUGAGAUUUGUUAACUUAUUUUGUUUCAUAUUUAUUAUUCCAUUUAUAUUCGAGGAGUACCCAGACGGGACCUUCAUACUAUUCAAGCAUUCAAACAUGCUAUCCUUCUCUUCCUUGCUGAGAGUGUAACUGGCAGGACGUAAGUAGUGCUGUCCAUUAUCUCUCUUUUCCGGAUUUAGGUCAUCUUGUUGCCCCAUGGCUUUCAGGUCCUGUCGUGCUUCCAAUAUAUCUUUUGAGGUUACAUAAACACCCAUGAAGCCUAGCACGUUCACGCAAAGAUUCUUCGUCAGGUGCAUCACGUCUAUUGCGUUGCGAACCUCUAGGAUUUCCCAAUAAGGUAGCUCCCAAAAUAUUGACUUUUUCUUCCACAUGGGUGCAUGUCCGUUAUCGUCGUUCGGAACAGGUUGGCUACCAAGUCCCUUUCCAAAGACUACAUUUACAUCCUUCAUCAUCUCGAACACACGCUUUCCAUUACGGUGUGCAGGUUUUUUACGAUGGUCUGGCGCCCCUUUGAAAUGCAUCCCGCUCUUUCUCAGCUGGUGGUGAGCAGGGAGAAAUCGACGAUGACCCAUAUAGACGACCUUCUUACAGUGCUUCAAGUACAUGCUGUCUGUGUCAUCUAAACAGUGGGUGCAUGCCCGAUAUCCCUUAUUUGUCUGUUCUGAAAGGUUACUCAAUGCAGGCCAAUCGUUGAUGGUUACGAACAACAAUGCUCGUAGAUUAAAGAUCUCUUGUCUAUCCUCAUCCCACACACGUACACCUUCUUCCUUCCAGAGCUGUAAAAGGUCAUCAACCAACGACCUUAGGUACAAGUCAAUGUCAUUGCCGGGUUGUUUUGGGCCUUGGAUAAGCGCCGGCAUCAUAAUGAACUUCCGCUUCAUGCACAGCCAAGGAGGAAGGUUGAACAUACAAAGGGUCACAGGCCAAGUACUAUGGCCACUACUCAACUCACCGAAUGGAUUGAAUCCAUCAGUGCUUAAACCAAACCUUAUGUUCCUUGCUUCACUUUCAAAGUCUGGGAAUGUUCUAUCAAUUGAUCUCCACUGUGCCCCAUCUGCGGGGUGUCUCAGCAUCUCAUCUUCCUUACGGUCUUCUUUGUGCCAUCGCAUCAACUUAGCAUUCGCCUUGUUCCUGAAUAAGCGCUUCAAGCGUGGUAUUAUAGGGAAAUACCACAUCACCUUCGCGGGAACUCUCUUCUUGGGAGACUGCCCCUCGACAUCACCAGGAUCAUCUCGCCUGAUCUUAUACCGCAGGGCUUCGCAGACGGGACAAGCAUCCAAUUUCUCGUAUUCAUCACCACGAUAGAGGAUACAAUCAUUAGGGCAUGCGUGUAUCUUCUGAACAUCCAAUCCGAGAGGGCAAAUAAUCUGUUUAGCUUCAUAUGUUGUGGACGGUAAUUCAUUAUUCUCGGGGAGAAUCUUCUUGACAAUGUUCAACAUCCCCUGAAAUGCCUUAUCGGACACACUAUUUUUUGUCUUCCAUUGCACAAAUUCUAGUGUCGUACCUAGUUUUUUAUGGCCCUGCUGGCAACCUGGGUACAACAAUUUUUGGUGAUCAUCUAUCAUGCGCUGCAACUUUGCUACUUCCUUCUCAGUUUUGCAAUCUCUGUAUGCAUCUCGUAUCACCUGACGAAGGUCAUCAGUAGGGCCAUUUUCUGCAAACUCAUCUUCAUCAGCCUCGCCCAUUGUAGUACCUACAAAAGCUUGGCCUGCAACCCAGUCCGGAAUGGUGUCAUCUUCCUCCUCCUCCUCGCCAUCUUCCAUUACAACCCCUAGUUCACCGUGCUUGGUCCAAACCAAAUAGUUAGGCAUGAAACCGUAUUUAAACAAGUGGCUGUGAAUAGUCCCCCAGCUUUCCUUUGAAUACUCCUUCCUGUUAUUGCAUUGGAAGCAUGGACACAUACGAACCUAUUCUCUGGCUUGUUCGCUUUUGCCAUUUCGAGAAAAUAUGCAAGCCAUCAAUAAACGUCUUGCUCCGCCUGUCUGCNNNNNNNNNNNNNNNNNNNNNNNNNNNNNNNNNNNNNNNNNNNNNNNNNNNNNNNNNNNNNNNNNNNNNNNNNNNNNNNNNNNNNNNNNNNNNNNNNNNNAACAUAUUGAAGGAGAAGGACAUACCUCCUUCUCGUCGGUAAAUCACGCGGGUUAGCCUCUGAGCCAGGUAUAUUGUCCAGUCGAUGCAGAAGGGAUCACAGUUGUUACCUAAGUCUAGUUUAGCCGCGGAGCUCAGCUUCAACCCGGAUUAAAGGUGAACCACCUUUUAUCCCGGUUGGAGCCUCCAACUGGGAUAAAAGGGUCCCGCCACCAACAGCUCCCCACUAGCCGUUGCAACCGGGACUAAAGGGGGGCCUUUAGUCCCGGUUGCAAUUACCAACCGGGAGUAAAUCUUCCCUCCAUUUUUGCCUACCGUGGCGCACCCCCUUUUGUCCCGGGCCAACUUUAAACCGGGACAAAAGGGGACGGAUCGAAAACCAAUUCUCUACUAGUGUCUAUUCCACAAAACCAUAAUUGUUCACCGGCUCCAGCAUUGCUGUUGCUCUCCACCAAUGGAGGAAGCUCUUGUCCUUGGCACCACCUUAUCCACUGACCAGCUGAAGUUAUCUGUACGUCCUAAGGUCUCAUAAGAUUUUUGAUGAAUUUGCAUUAAUACUAAUAUUGCCACCAAUCUAGUCUCAACCUUGCCUCGUGUUCUCCGUGGUCAUGUUUUAUUCUAACUUGCAAGCCCUACAACUACAUAUGAUGGUUCUUCUAUAUGCAUAAUAUAUCGCAUCUCCUAAGACAUAUCGCGGGCCGGCGGCGCGCGGGGGAGCGGUGCCAGCAGAGCGGAGGCGACCGGCGGUGGGCAGAGGUGGGUGGGUGCGGGUGCGGGCGAAGGCGGAGGAGCAUGUGGGCAGAGGCGGGUGGGCGUGGGCGGAGGCGGAGGCGGAGGCUGGCGUGGGCGUGUGCGGAGGCGGAUGGGUGGAGGCAUGCAGCGGCGGUGGGCAGAGGCGGGCGGGCGCAGGUGAGUGGCAGCUGGGCCAGCGGCGUGGGCGGAGGCGGAGACCGGCAGCGGUCGGGCGGCGCGGGCGGGCGGCCGGCGAGCGUGGCGCUUCUUUUUUUUUCCAAAUUUUUUAGUCCCGGUUAGUGGUUGGUAACACCAACUAGGACUAAAGGGGGCCUUUAGUUCUGGGUGGAUGACCUGGAACUAAAGACCUCCUUUUUUAUCUCGAAAAAUUUAUCUCGGACGGCUUUUAGAGAGAUGUGAGCGUAUCCAAUUGGGACUAAAGGUGAGUUUUCCACCAGUGAAUGCAGAGCAGGCUCAUCCUAAAUGGUGACACCAUGCUGAUCACGCAAUUUAUCAUUAUUUUAUCGACCUCAUCCGUGUUUGUCUUUUACCAUCUAUAUAGUAUGGUUAGUCAACGGCAUGCAGUACACCCAUGCAUAUGAUUGCAGUAGGAUAACAUAGCGCGACCAGAACUGACGCAGUUUGCCAGUUUUAGAUUCGUAUACACGGCCAACUUACGCAGCAGAGAGUUGCAUGCUAAGCAGUUCAGCGUAGGUGGUGAGUUCUCAACUCUGAUAUGGCUUAUGGAAGAACACUGUCACGGUGUCACCUAGCCGGUUGGAGGCCAACCUCUUACUAGGGACAGCAAUGGCCCUGUCCGGCCACUGUUUCGUGGCUGGUAUUAUUACCCCUAUGCAGUGAAUAUGACAUGUGGAUCUAUGUGUAUAUUAUGUCGUCGAAAGAACAUUAUAUGAACCGUUGAGCCACCUUUGAUUCUAUCAAUGUGUCAUGGUCAAUUGAUGUCAAACUCUAUUAUCUUCAAGUCUUAUUGUAUUGAAAAAAUCACGAUGCUCUGCUACUGCCAUUUUGAUGUUUAUAAAAGGGUAUUGAGAACCUGGUGGGUAUCCAUUCGAUGCGCUGGGGUGGGGGUGGGGAAAAAUGAGUGUAAAGGACAGGGAUACAGUAUUUAGAAGGAUGGGGCUGCCACAGAAGAUAGUCUCCAAGUAUGGCAGGGAAGAAUCUAAAACUGAAUCCUUGAUCAAGACUGUCCCAUAUUCAUGAAUAGUUCACUGACAGAUCUUGCUUCCAUAUUCUGAACAGCUGAUGCUGGGCACAUAGGAGGUUAACCGGUCAGCGGAUCGAAGAAAAAAAAAUUCUUGCCUGUCAGUGUCCACAAUGGCCUCAGCUUGGGUUAGAGACAAUCAUCCCUAAAGAAUCAUAUUGCCGGAUAAGGUUAUCUGUGAUUGGUGGGUGCAGAUCCAUACUCAUCCUAGAAACAAGCCAGGGCUGAAUAUGCCACUCAUUUUAGGUGCUUUGAUGUUGUGGUCACACCGAAAUGAUCAUGUGUUUAAUAAAGUUUCCUAUAGUGACUGGCGUGCAGGCUGUCCUCGUAUUCGAGAAAAAAAAUCAAUGGGCGAAAUAUUUUCACCCAGGUAAUUGUUGCAUUGUAUGAAUAGGCUUAGAUACCUGGUUAGAGUAUGAAUGUGCGUGUACCGUGACACAAGAAGAUUUAUCAUAUCCAUGUAUGAAUUAGUGUUAAAUCUGCUACAUAAAUAUCUUCUCUUAUCUCAUUGUAUGUGUAUAUAUGACACAGAAGCACAUGUAUAUUGGCAUUGUAGAGAGAGAUGAGAGAGAGAAGCUUAUCUGCUUUUUGGAGAUAAAUAUUCAAAUUACUGGUGUAUGAGAGGGAUAUAAUUAUUCUAUCAAAUUGUUUAUUCAACAUGUAAAAAGAUUCCAUGUUUAGUCAUCUAUAUCGGCAUUGUAGAGAGAGACUAGUGUUCAGCUGGUUGGAAGGAUGAGAGAGAGAGGAGAGAGUUCGGAUGAGAGAGAGACUAGUGUUCAGCUGGUUGGAAGGAUGAGAGAGAGGAGAGUUUGGAUGAUAGAGAGAUUAGUGUUCACCUGGUUGGAAGGAUGAGAGGGAGAUGAGAGAGUUCGGAUGACGAGGUGGAGAGUUCGGAAGAGAGAGAGGUGAGAGUUCGGAUGAGAGAGAAAGCAGCUUAGAAGGAUGAGAGAGAAAGUGGUAUUCAGCUGGAUGGUGGAGACUUCAUAUAUUACUAACUAGCAAGGUGUCCGUGCGUUGCUAUGGUGAAACGACGUUGCUUAGCGCGCGAUGCUUUUUAUCAUGUCGUGUAGCAUACCACAUUUUUUAUCGUGCUGUGGAACUUUUCUAUUUUAGUAGUAUUAGACUUUUCAUAUAUAAGGGGCCACAUGAGUGUGUCCAUAUCCUAACCGUGAGGAGACCGCUUGCCAUGGAACUUGUUAUCUCUUUCUCUAUCUUGAGAUUGGUAGGCUUCUACAGCAAUUCUGCACAAAAAAGGCCCCACUUCGCCCCACUUCGCCUCGCUCUCGCUGUCCGGUUAGUCCCGCGCCUACCCUCUCCCUCUCCGAUCCUCGCCGCUAGCUCCUCGGGGUCCAAGUCGGGCCCGUGAUGUAGCGGCCUGUUAUCCUUCCACCGUUGGAAGCGGGCAGUGAUCGCUGCUCUGUGAACCCAGCCUCACGCCAUUCCUACCACUUCAGGUCCAGUGAAGCCCGAGCUUUUGCUUGGGCCGAACAGGCCACUACCAACUUGGAGCAGGCAAGGCCAGCAAGGGCACACAAUAGACCCAAGCCCAGAGUCCACACCCAAACAUCCACACCACCUUAAUACCCCCACUUGGGUUACAAGCCCGCGCAACCAAGCUCGAUGAGGAUGGCUCGUGAGGACGAACAUUUGAGCUGGUGCGGCGCUGCUUCAGAUGGCGAGGUGGUACUAAUCUAAGGAAUAGGAAAAUUUCACGUGGGUCCCACACCGCACCUACCCCUAUCCUUAUCCUUUCUCAUCUCUCUACCGUUCAUCCGGUCCUUAUCCUCCUCAUCUCAUCUCUCUCUCUCUCUCUCUCUGUCUCUCUCUCCCUCUCUCGCUCUCAAACUCUCUAUCUCUCCUAUCCCCUCUUUCUCUGGAGAACGCGGUGCACGGCUGGCCCCAGCGGCGGCCUGGGGGCGCGGGUGCUGGCGGCAGCCGAGGGUUGCGGGGCUGCGGCGAGGAGCCUCCUGGCCGUGGAUGCGACGGCCUAGCCACGGGUGCCGGGCCGCAUCGCACCGCGCGCUGCUGCCACCGAGUAGGCUGCACGCACUGCCUGCACACCAGGCGGGGUGGGCGGCCAGGGCCGAGCGGCGCGGCCGGGGCCGGGGAGGUGACUCUGGCGCGGCCGAGGCGGCUUGGGCGCGGCCAGCUGUUGUGGGUAGGGAGAGGUGGACAGCGGCGCAUGGCGGUGUGGAGAGGCGGACGUGGGGCACGAACGGGUGAAAGGGGAGACGGGGAAAGAAAGCUGGACCCACCUAGCAAUGCAGCCGGGGCCGGGGCCAGGGUAGCGCGGGUGGCCGAGGCCGAGGCCGAGGCCAGGCGGCGCAGUCGGGGCUGGGGAGGCGGCUUUGGUGCAGCCAGCCGUGGCGGGCAGGGAGAGGCGGAGAGUGGCGCAACGGCGGCGUGGAGAGGCGGACAUCAGGCACGGGCGGGUGAAAGGGGAGACAGGGAAAGAAAGCUAGACCCACCCGUCAAUGCAUUAAUCUUACCUAUUAUUAAACAUCAGGGCCACCUCUCGUUGAUAGAAGUUGGACCAAACCAAAAAAAGUGGGCAGAAGUGUUCCUUACUUUAAUAAUAAUAAUAAAGUAUAGAUAAUGCAUCCAAACAACAUUUGGAAUUUAAUUCUAAGAAAAACUUUCUCAGUACAUCCAAACUAGAAAAUUCAAUUGAAUAAAAUUCUACGGAAUGCAUUUCUUAUGGAAUCUAAUUGGUAGAAUAUGAUUUAUGGGAUGAGUUUCAACUCUAGGGAUCCAAAUAGGCUCUUAGUUAUUUCUUAUGUAGCUCAAAUCAGAAGGAAGGUACGUCCAAACUAAAAAACGUAAGUUACUUUGUGUUAUCUUGUGAAUCAGUGAUUAAUUACUUCCAAUCUUAUGUAAAAAGAACUACGAGUCAAAUUCUUUGUCAGAUUUAUACUGACAAGUUACAAGCACAUGCCUCUGCAGUAACAGGCCAGCCCUAGACUAGUGGGCAAACCAAAAACAACAUGAUUCGUCAACUGAUCGAAUGCUAAUGACUAUUUUGCUAGGAGAAUGAACAUGAUUCAUACAAAGCAGGGGAGCUACUAACUUGGUCAAGGUCUCCGUCCUCUAGCUACUAACAUGAUUCAUACAAAGAAGGGGCCAUCUUGCUCCACUCCACGUCUGCGUGGUUGCUCGGCGGGCGCGACGGUGUCGGCUGCGGAGUGCGGACGGCGCGUAGAUAUGUCAUUGUUGAUCAGGACAUGCACUUCUAUCACAGUCUGUGGUUGGCGUCCACGGCCGAGCGGGUCAAGGUCUCCGUCCUCUAGCGUGGGGAAACAGGAUCUCUUCAAUCAGUGCUUCUACAGAAACGGUGCACGGUCACCACGGACCAACGACAUACCAUGAGAAAAGCAGAGCUAAAUGUUGCAGUAGCAGAGUAACCGGAGACUGGAGAGCACUUGCUGCUAAAAGCUGCCUCUUAUUUUGUAUCGUCUUAACCGAAGACUUUAAGUCAACCGCCAUUCGAUUCCAAUAUAAACUAGCAAGUUGGUCCGCGAUAAUAGCGCGGCUAGAUUUGAUACAGUAUAAUUUUUUUAAAUGCUAUGUUAGCUUAGUAUAUUUCUUUGUCCCUCUUGAUUUGUUUUUCAUCCUCUUGAAAUCACUGAGUAUACUUAGGUGCCUUACUCUACACAUUGAGUAUCAAGCCAUAUAUGUAUAUUUUUUUUUUGCAAAUGAACUCCGAUGCCACAUGCGCAUAUGCACGCCUAAUUAAAAUUGCUCACUUGUAAAAAAAUAAGAACAACUUGAGUAGUUGAUUCUGAUCUUAUGUUGCAGUUUUUGCCAACUUUUCCUAGUAUUAUUGUGUUGAGUAGAAAGCCUGUGUAGAGAAAGAUCCAAAACAAACAAUCGUGUCAACUACUCCCCAUGCUUGCUCAAAUAAUUUUGAAAAAAAAAACAACCGCGCUCUAAGUCCUAGGGAGGUGAUAUUCCUCCUUACUUUCCUCCUCUCGUUUUCCUUGCACAAUCGAGGAUGACAAAUACCACAAACCACUUAGGCUCUAUCAUGUUUCAUCAUCACAUUCCUCAAAUCUUGAUCACGUUGUUGUCUUCAUUAUGUUAACAGUACACAUCUCUCCGCCUCUUCUAUUCCACAAAACCAUAAUUGUUCACCGGCUCCAGCAUUGUUGUUGCUCUCCACCAAUCGAGGAAGCUCAUGUCCUUGACAUCACCUUAUCCACUGACCAGCUGAAGUUAUCUGUACAUCCUAAGGUCUCAUAAGAUUUUUGCUGAAUUUGCAUUAAUAUUAAUAUUGCCACCAAUCUAGUCUCAACCUUGCCUUGUGUUCUCGGUGGUCAUGUUUUAUUCUAACUUGCAAGCCCUACAGCUACAUAUGAUGGUUCUUCUAUAUACAUAAUACAUCGCAUCACUUAAGACAUAUAUCGCGGGCCGGCGGCUCAUGGGGGAGCGGCGCCGGCGGAGCGAAAGCGACUGACGGUGGGCGGAGGCGGGUGGGUGCGGGCGGAGGCGGAGGCCGGUGCGGGCGCGUGCGGAGGUGGAUGGGUGGAGGCGUGCAGCGGUGGCGAGUAGAGGCGGGCGGGCACGGGCGAGUGGCAGCUGGGCCAGCGGCGGCCGGGCGGCCGGCCGGUGAGCGUGGGGCUUUUUUUUAUUUUUUUUCAAAAUGUUUUAGUCCCGGUUCGUGGUUGGUACCACCGACCGGGAUUAAAGGGGAAGACCCCGUCUUUUGUCUCGAAAAAUUUAUCCCGGAUGGUUUUUAGAGAGAUUUGAGCCUACCCAACCGGGACUAAAGGUGAGUUUUGCACCAGUAAUGCAGAGGAGGCUCAUCCUAAAUGGUGACACCAUGCUGAUCAUGCAAUUUAUCAUUAUUUUAUCGCCCUCAUGCAUGCUGUGCAUGAUUGAUAUUAGUAUUGGGCAGCUUAGAUUCCUCAGCGCAUCAUGCUGCUCAGCCAUGGAGGUCAAGGCAUCAAUAUUGUCCAUAUCACAACGUCUCUGCUUUCUCUUGUUGUCCUCCCCCUUCCCUCUACAUUGCACCUUCUUGUUUUCCUGAUCCUAUUGCCAGUUUGUUGCAGCCAUUUAUGGGCACCUCUUUCGUCCAUUGUCCACUGUUGUUGCCCGCUGCCUCAGUUCUUCUCUAACCAAAGCGGUCGUAUCGCGCUGGUCGGUAGGAAGCCAUCGUCUCACAAAAGCAUCGUCGUGAUCGCCAAACCACAUCUAGCCGAUGCCGAACCAUACUUGCCAUCUUCUUUGCCAACUUGCCGCUAUGGAAGCCUCCAUGCAUCGCUCCUCGAGUCUAUCCUAUCUCUAUCAGCUCCUGUGGUAUCCUGUUUUGUUUUUGCCUCAACCACGAAGCCAUAGGUAGCUGGUGCUAAAUUGCAGGGCCAGCAACAGCUAUUUCCUCUCCCUGGCCUUGCGGCCAUGCUAUGUAUUUUUCUCUCUCAAAAAAAAUUCCAAUGAUUUAAUUCUAAUGUUCCGAUCAUGUGUGAUUGGUUUAUUAAUUAAAGUUAUAGUUAUACACGAGUAUAUUAUAAAAAAAUAAUAUAUAUAUAAGUUACCAUACAAAGUACAACUUCCAAUAAGGUGGAGAGGUUCGGAUGGAAUUUUGAUUCAACUUACUCUAUUCUAGAUAUUAGAGUUGUACUAGCAAAAUAUCCAUACAUUGCUAUAGCAAAAUAUCCGUACAUUUGCUACGGUAAAAGAUCAAUUGUGUUUUUCAAACUAAUAAUAUUUUUUAUUUUCAUCACUAAAGUUUUAUUCCACUUAUUGGAUGUCCACACAUUUAAUAGAAAACUAAAAGAAUUUUAACUAAUUAUUUCCUUCAACUCAAAUACCAAUUAAAUUAAAAUAUUUUUUUAUUCAAGCAAGAGAGUUAAAUCAGCCUCCGAUGGCCAUCGAUGAGGGGCUCUUUAGUCCUGGUGAGUAAUAUCAACCGGGACUAAAGAACCCCUUUAGCCCCGGUUGUAAAAGUUAGUGGCCUCGGGAUUCUGUUGGGGCGUUUUGUCCCGGUUGCAACUACCAACCGGGACUACGCUCCCCGCCUCCACACACACAAUGUGCGUGCCUCACUUUCUCUCCUCCCUCUCCUUAAUUCCAGUACCCAAGCCUCCUCUCCUUAAUUCCAAUACCCACAUGCCUCCUCUCCUCCUCCCUUCGGCCCCUGCCUCCUCUCCUCCCUCUCCUUCUCCUCCGCUAGAUCCGGCCAACCCCCAUUCCCUCUUCCAAGCUCCUCCCUCUCCCUCGACCGAGGCGGGCGGCGGGCGCAGGUCGGGUGGCGCGGCUGGGGCCGAGGCGGCGUGGGCGGCCGGGGGUCAGGGAGGAUGAUAGGUGGUUACGAGGAUGAUACCUGCAGACAAUACUUUUAGUCCCUCAAUUUUUUCUGAGAAUUGCACUGUGAGCUGCGCUUUCAUUUAUGUCACACCGCUCAGCAAAAAAAACGGUGCAAAUCGACCAAAAUAAAUGAAUAAAUCACACGGUUUAGACUGGUGGCAUCUGUAUGUUUGAUGAGUUUUGAAUCCCAACAGACCUCUGUUUGCUUAUCCAACAGGAGGAAAAAACUUUACUUACUAAAUCAGCUUUGCAUGCCAGGCUGCAAUUGUUAGAGCAGAAUUGGGUAAUUUGUGAACAUAAUUGAAUCAAAGUUUUGUCUCAGACUAGUAAUAGAAAAUGGUAAUGCUCCACAGCUAGAACACGUUCCUACACUAGUUUAAAAAAUUCCCUGAAAUUGGCGACAAUGGUCAAGCUCAAUGUCAAAGUCAAAAAUUCCUACACACGUUCCUACCAUACUUGGAACUUGGAAGGCCGCUGGUCGAUGUCAAAGUCAAAAACAGAAGCAGACAGCGACGUCUCACCAGAUCACGAAUCAGAUGCGAUGCAUGUGCAUGUUCAGCAAGACAUUGAAAAGCAAGCUCUGUCUGGCAGCAGCUCUUCAAUACGCUCCAGCCCAUCUCUACCAUGGCAUUGGCAAUGCGCGUCAUGAGCUUGCUUCCUGCCACCAUCGCCGUGAUGAUCGCAGCGGCCUCCUGGGGAGCGCACGGCGGUGCCAGCGACGAGGCCAGCGCGCUACUUGCUUUCAAGGCUGAGCUCGCCGGCAGCGGCUCCGGCAUGCUUGCAUCCUGGAAUGGCACCGCUGGCGUCUGCGGCUGGGAGGGCGUGGCGUGCACCGGCGGCCAGGUGGUGGCACUGAGCCUGCCCUCCUAUGGGCUCGCCGGAGCCCUCUCCCCGGCCAUUGGGAACCUCACUUUCCUGCGGACCCUGAACCUGAGUUCCAACUGGUUCCAGGGGGAGGUCCCAGCAAGCAUCGGCCGCCUAGCGCGUCUGCAGACGCUUGAUCUGAGAUACAAUGCGUUCUCUGGUACGCUUCCUUCCAACCUCAGUUCCUGUGUCAGCUUACUGCUGUUAGAUCUCAGCAGUAACCGGUUCCAUGGGCGUAUCCCUGUUGAGCUUGGAGACAAGCUAACAAGUCUUCAGAAGUUCUCACUGGGCAACAACAGCUUGACGGGUGCCAUACCAGGAUCACUAGGUAACCUGUCAUCCCUGAUCUACCUUGAUCUGACAGAAAACCACCUCGAGGGUCCGAUCCCACAUGAACUUGGCAGCAUGGGCGGCCUGCAGGUCCUUUUCCUCUAUGAGAACAGACUCUCCGGUGUGCUUCCACACUCCCUGUACAAUCUGUCCUCACUGAAAAACUUGGUGGUAGGAAACAACAUGCUGUCUGGAACCAUCCCUGCUGAUAUCGGCGAUAGGUUCGCCGGUAUGGAAGUUCUUGACUUUAGUAGCAACCGAUUCAGUGGAGCUAUCCCACCUUCGCUCGGCAACCUCUCUGCUCUCACGUUACUAAACCUUCCAGGAAAUGAUUUUAUUGGAUAUGUGCCUUCUGCUUUGGGGAAGUUGCAAAGUCUUACUGACCUGUUCUUGAGUGACAACAGGCUAGAAGCAAACGACAGUCAAGGGUGGGAAUUCAUCACUUCACUGGCAAACUGCUCCCAGCUUCAGUAUCUUGUUCUCGGCAACAACUCUUUCAGCGGGCAACUGCCUAAUUCAGUCGCAAACCUGUCAUCAACUCUGCAACAUCUUUAUUUGGGAGACAAUAUGAUUUCUGGGAAUAUUCCAAUAAACAUCGGAAAUUUGGUUGGUCUUACAGUACUUGAUAUGGCAAAUACUUUAGUAUCUGGACAGAUUCCAGAGAGCAUUGGUCAGCUAAGAAACUUGGUUGGGUUAGGCCUUUACAACACUAGCUUGUCAGGCCUCAUACCUUCAUCACUAGGAAAUCUUACACAGUUGAAUAAUCUUUAUUUAUACUAUGGAAACUUAGAGGGGCCAAUUCCAUCAAACUUGGGGAACUUAAAGAAUGUGUUUGCCUUUGAUCUCUCAACAAAUCGACUCAAUGGUUCAAUUCCUAUAGAGGUUUUAAAACUUCCUCGACUUUCCUGGUACUUAGACUUAUCAUAUAAUUCACUAUCCGGGCCACUUCCAACUGAGGUUGGUACCAUGGUGAAUCUUAACGAACUGAUUCUGUCUGGAAACAAGUUCUCAGGCACCAUACCAGCUAGUGUUGGGAACUGUAUAUCGUUGGUAAAGCUGCUGCUCGAUAACAACUUAUUAGAAGGAAGCAUACCUCAAUCUCUGAAGAACUUAAAAGGUCUUGCAUUACUGAACCUAACAAUGAAUAAGCUAUCUGGUAGUAUUCCUGAUGCCCUUGCUAGCAUUGGCGACCUGCAACAACUGUAUCUUGCACACAACAACUUGUCAGGUUCCAUCCCCAAAGUUCUACAGAAUUUGACAUUGUUGGCAAAACUGGAUUUGUCCUUCAAUGAUUUGCAAGGCGAAGUGCCAAAAAGGGGUCCUUUUGCAAAUGCAACUCACUUGUCAAUUGAUGGAAAUGAUGAGCUUUGUGGUGGAAACCCUCAACUUCACUUAGCUCCGUGCUUCACAGCUGCUGCGGGGAAGAACAGAAGGCGAAUGUCAAGGUCAGUUAUGGUCACCGUAGCGUCAAUCUGCGCACUUCUAUUCUUAGGUUUAGUAGUUUUUCUUAUCCAUUUGAUCCACAAGACGCUCAGACAAGGAAAGGAAAAUCAACUCAUUCCCACAGUAAUUGAUGAACAGCACGAAAGGGUUUCAUAUCAAGCAUUAGCAAAUGGGACUGACCAUUUUUCGGAGGUUAAUCUGCUCGGACAAGGAAGCUAUGGUGCAGUUUAUAAGUGCACUUUACAUGACAAGGGAAUUACCGCAGCUGUAAAGGUAUUCAACGUACGGCAAUCUGGGUCUACUAGAAGUUUUGUGGCUGAAUGUGAGGCACUGCGAAGGGUGCGCCACCGAUGUCUCAUAAAGAUCAUCACCUGUUGCUUAAGCAUUGAUCACCAAGGCCAAGAAUUCAAGGCACUGGUUUUUGAGUUCAUGCCCAAUGGUAACCUAAAUGAUUGGCUGCAUCCAGCAUCCAAAAUACAGAGUCUGAGCAAUACACUCAGCUUAGCUCAGAGACUAGACAUUGCGGUAGAUAUCAUGGAUGCUCUGGAUUAUCUUCACAAUCAGUGUCAACCGCCUAUUAUCCAUUGUGAUCUCAAACCAAGUAACAUCCUCCUUGCCGAAGAUAUGAGUGCUCGGGUUGGAGAUUUCGGCAUAUCAAAAAUCCUUCCUGACGACACUAGCAAAACUCUGCUGAAUUCAGUUAGCUUCACUGGACUAAGAGGUUCCAUCGGAUAUGUCGCUCCAGGUAACAGAAACUAACACUGAUAUUGCUAUGUUCAGUUUUUAACUUCCAUUUUGCCAAGUCCAGUUAUCUCGGCAUGCACGUUGAUAAGUAGCUUGCCAUGAAUCCACUGACCAAAUAGUGUCUGAAAUCUGAAUUGACUGCAGAGUACGGCGAGGGUCGCGCUGUCUCAACUCUUGGAGAUGUUUACAGCCUCGGCAUACUGUUGCUUGAGAUGUUCACCGGGAUGAGCCCUACUGACGACAUGUUCAAAGGCUCCUUGGACCUUCAUAAGUUCGCCGAGGCCGCUCUCCCCGACAGAGCCUUGGAGGUAGCCGACCCGGCAAUCUGGUUUCAUGAAGAAGCAAAGGGCGAAGACCCUGCCACGGUGAGAAGCAGAAGCGAGAGGUGCUUGGCUUCAGUGGUCGGGCUUGGCGUGUCCUGCUCAAAGCAGCUGCCAAGGGAGCGGACGGCGAUGCGGGAUGCUGCCGCUGAGAUGCGUGCGAUCAGAGAUGCCUUCCUGGUUCAAUGUGCAACAGAGACUUGGCCUGCAGUCGGCACCACCGGCCUUGGGAGCGCAGACAGUUGAAUGGUGGACGGAGCUACGGUCUCUUGAUGAACCAAGGAGCACCGGACUAGCAACUCUGCAACUAACAGAGUGGAGAAAGCGCCCCUUAAUGAAAAGAAAAACAGCCGGUGCAAGGCUUUAUAAAAAGAAUGUGACAGCCACUGCGUGUAUCCGAGAGACUUAUCUAAUCUACCGAGGAUUGUUGGGUAGGGAUGCGUAUAGAUUAUGCACGUGCUCCCUCCGUCCCAAAAUAAAUGCACAUCUCGCUUUUCGAGGAGUCAAACUUCUAAGUUUGACUAAAAUUUAUAAAAAAAUGUACUACUAUUUAUAAUGUAUAAUAAAUAUCAUUAGAUUGGGCGUUGGAUAUACUUUCCUAAUAUAUUUAUUUGAAGAUGCAAAUGAUGAUACUAUUUUCUUUAUUCUUAGUCAAACUUAAAAAUGUUUGACUCUUCGAGAAGUGAGAUGUGUGUUUAUUUUGGGAUGGAGGGAGUACCCGUCACGGGGAUUAGUCACGAUAUAAGUAGGGACUAGCAAGCACCAAAAUCCCAUUCACUGCCCUUCGAUCGCUCAAAUAAAACAAACCAUUGCAUAUGGUGGCGAUGCGCUUGCGGGCCUUUUUCCAACCUUUCUGCUGUCGUGGGUCUUGAACUCGCAUGGAACAGUUUUAGUGAAAGCGUGCCCUUCAAUUUUGGGAAGAUUGCGAAGCCUCAUUUACCUGUCCUUAGUGACAAUAAGUUAGGAUCCAAUGAUAAGGACGGAUUGGAAUUCAUCACCAUGCUGGCAAACUGCAGCCAGCUUCAGCAACUGGCUUUUGACAAUAAUUCAUUCAUCGGGGAACUUCCUAGCUCAAUUGCAAAUCUAUCGACAACACACCAAUUACUCUGUAUAGGAAACAAUUGGAUUUCGGGAUUUAUUCCAUCCAGCAUAGGUAAUUUGCUUGGUCUAGAACUGCUUGCGUUGGCAAAUACUUUCAUAUCCGGAGUGAUUCCAGAUAGCAUUGGUCGCCUAGAAGACAUGUCCGUGUUAGGCAUUUACUACGCUAGCUUGUCAGGCAUCAUACCUUCGUCACAAGGAAACCUUACACAGUUGAAAACUCUCUAUGCGUACGAUAGCAACUUCGAGGGUCCAAUUCCAGCAAGUGGGGGAACUUAAAGAAUGUUGUUGUUCUUGAUCUCUCAACGAAAGUGUGUAACCCGCUAAGAUUUCGUGUCGAAGCAAAGCAUAAACCUCUCUUAAGACUGCAAAGCUAUCAUAGAGCAGAUCAGUCUAAGACAAUGUAGAACUUAGUCAAAUUUUAUUUAUAAACAUUCAAGUACAAUUUAUGCAAAGUAAAUUUGAAAAUAAAGUAUACGUAAACAUCUAAGCGCAUAGCUUUAUGAUUUGAGUUGAACUAACCAAAUAUAAUUGAAAAACACAUUUAUAUUUAUAUUAAGUCAAAUUAACAUAUAAUUAUGAAAGCUCGAGAUAUAACUUAUGGAGCCUUUAUUUAGAAAACAAAUUGAAUAAACAUUAAUCAAUUUAAGUUUAAUUAUGAACCACCAUGUUGCAUCUCUCAUUGACUUUUAAUUGAAAGAGUUAUUUAAAUAAGCAUUAACUAAUUUAGCAUUUAUUAUGAAAAGCAGUUAUAACACUAAGUAGCUUUUAAUUAAAGAAGACAUGUUUAACAUGCAUUAAUCAGAUUAAUAUUAAAUUUAUUUUAAAAACAUGCAUGAUGGAAAGAUCAGUACUAACAUGUAAUUUGUGUUAUUACAAACCUAACUCAAUAAGAACAGAUAUAAACGGAGCUGUAACGACCAGUCUAUGGGUUAAACAAGGUUGCAGGGCCUAAUCAUGAUUAACGGAAGGUUAUUGGGGCUAGCAAGGAAGAUUUGCAAGACACUGGAAUAGAGCUCCCCAUUAGGUCAAAGCAUAGGGCGAUUGCGAAAUCAAGAACUCGAAGGUGAUCGCGAGAACACGAAGGACACGAAGGUUUUAGAUAGGUUCGGGCCUCCGGAGAGUAAUACCCUACGUCCUGUAUGCUAGUUUGUAUUGCUUGAGAUUGAUCUGAUUGUUGGGAUACCCUCGGGGGUGCCCUUGGCCGCCUUAUAUAGGCUGACGACCAAGAGUUAAAAGUCAGUUUGAAUCUAAUCUACUCGGUAGUUACAUGGAAAGUAAUCUGAGUUGGACUACAGUACACGUUCCAUGAUAUCCAGGCAGAUUUGAACUGUCUUGUUGCCUUGACUUGCACUCCAAGUAACUUCAUGUCCUCGGCCCGCACGCCCUAGUCGGGCGGGCCCUACUUGUCAGUCCGGCCAGUAUCCUGGUCGGUCGGGGCCCAUGGGGUACCCAUAUCCCUCAAGCCCCCGAGCAUUGUGUAGGUGAAGAGUAACUUGAGGUCACCACAGUGAAACUUGAAAUGAAGUCGGCUGAAGCUACGAAGACAUCAUGGCGACGGAGAGGCUGCACAGUGCUCAAAAGAAGAAAUUCUGAGCAAACGCAGAGCCAACGCGUAGAGCGAAGACGAGUGCCGAGUUGAUGGAUGCUGGCAUUCAGCAGUCGGAGCAAAGGUUAUGGAGGGCCUCGCAAAACGCACUCUGUAGGAGUAGCCCCCGAGCAUUAAAGUGAUUAAGAUAAUCGGUACAAUAGUCAAAGAAGAAAAAGUUAUCCCCUAAAGUAGAUCCUAGUGCUCGAACAUAAGGAUGGGUGAAGCCAUGGAGGCCCGCCAACCAGAAGUAGGCACCCAGACCCAAGAAUGAGGACUAGCGGGACCGUGUAGCCACGUUGACCUGAAAUAGGCGCCCAACCCCUGAGGACGAGGACUAGCGGAGCCACGGAGGCAUGCCGACCUGAAGUAGGCACGCAACCCCUGAGGACGAGAACUGGAGGAGCCAUGAAGACACGCCGACUUGAAAUAGACGCCAAGCCCCUGAGGAUGAGGACCAGUGGCGCCACGGAGGCACGCCAGCCAGAAUUAGGCAUCCAACCCCCGAGGAUGAGCAUGAGGACUGGUGGAAGCACGUCGAGGUGCCUCCCGCCUCGAGCCGAGGCAGAGAGGUCAGUCGGGCGACGGGAGGCACAUGAGUCAUCUAUGGCGCGCAACCGCCGAGCCUGGGAGCCGGACGAGUUGCAGAAGCAUGCCAAGUCGCCUCCCGCGGCGAGCUAGAGAGGUUUGCUGGGCGACGGGAGGCACGCCAAGUCAUCUGCAGUGCCCAGCCCUCAAGCCUUAGGGCCGGCUGAGCCAUAGAAGCAUGCCAAGCCGCCUCCCGCCCCGAGCCAGAGAGGUCGGCCGGGUGACGAGAGGCACGUCGAGUCAUCUGCGGCGCCCAGCCCCCGAGCCUAGGAGCCAGACAAGUCAUAGAAGCAUGCCAAGUUGCCUCCCAUCCCGAGCUAGAGAGGUCGGCCGCGUGACGGGAGGCACGCCGAGUAGUUUUUGAGCUAUAAAAGGACAAUACAAUCAUCAUGUAGCAUAGUGUAGAUCGUUUAAUCAUUGAACAACUCGGAAGUUUAAUUCACUAUAUAAGUAAACUCUUGCGCAUCCUGCUCUUGUAGGCUAAGUAAUUUCCCCAGGUAGUUAGCCUGUUACGUUUAAGCACCUAGCCCUACUGACCACUGCUCACAGAGAUGACGGUUUAUCUCAAGCUAUAGCGCUGGGGCUGACCUGAUGCUUGCAUAUAGGAGACGCGCAGGAUGAGUUAAGGUUUUACGGAUUAAGGCAUGUGCUACCCGAGUACUUUAGCAACUGUUAACAGGGACAGACAAGUUGCAAAGCAGCCGGAACUGUGCGGAAAAGCACCAGCAUGAGCUAGGCACCCAUGGGGUGUAACCCCUGGCCGCCCGUGUAGUGGACGGACCAAGUUGUAUAAACAGUUAGGGUGCGACCAAGGUGGUGGGCAAAAGUCACGGAGACAUAGGAGAGCUGAGGCGGUCGACGAAAGUCACAGGAACAUGGAGGAGCCGAGGCUUAUGUAGGUAUACGGAAGCCAUAAAAUAUUUAAUUGUAAAUAAGACUUAGCUUGAUUCGUGAUCGAGUCGAAGAACCCGCAUGUCGUCUUUGCGUUUAGGCUUAGAAGCCCCUGAGCGUGGUCAGCGGAUAGUUGUUGGUGAAGCAAACUAGUAGGGCUCCAUGCCCGACUAAUUCGUGUCAAGUCCGAGUUGUUGGAGUUGUUAGUGGCAAGUCUGUGGCUGCGAUCGUGGUAUGCUGCUGCCAAGUCGAUGCGGCCAUCGGGUCGUGGCUGGCUGGCCGCCACGCUCGCAAUACAGCAUGCCUGGGUUGUGCUGCCAAACCAAAGGUGCAUGUACAUCUUUCCGAACCUCGUAAGGAAGCCCUCAGGUAUUAAGGAAAUCUAUACCUAAUAUUAAAGUGCGGUUGUUUGUUCCAACCAUUAUGGUUGUUUUGCAAAAAAGUCCCUCAACUUUUUCGUAAUCAGCUCGCAGUCCUUGGAAUAUGUCUUGAUGAUUUUGCAAAAAGGUCCCCAAACUUUACUGCAAUUGGCCGUCGAAGCUCCCGCAGCAUGCACCUACGCCACGUGCGGUGCGGACGAGUGUGCUGGCGGUGGCUGCAAGCUCCUCACCACAGCGGGGACCAGGUCGAGCAGCGACAGCGAUGACGGAGGGGAGUAGUCCGCAUCCGCGUGCCGUGCUUCCAUCGUCGGGCAAGCUGUGGCGGCGGUGGAGAGGGAAAGUGAGUACAUCGGCGUGUGGCAGCAGUCGUGGGGCAGUUUGGCGGCGGAGAUCCAUGACCCGCACCUCGCUGUGCGCAAGUGGCUCAGCACCUUGGACACCAUUGAGGACGCCACACACGUCUAUGAUGUCGCCGCCAUCGAGUUCCGAGGCCACCACGCCAAGCUCAACUUCCCCGACGACAUGGUCCCCGUGCCCGCACCUUCUAGGGUGCCCACCUCUACAUACCACUACCACCACCACCUGCCGCAGCCGCUGCCCAAGAGUCUGCACAAGACCUGCGGGUCGAACGCAUCGUCGUCGGUGCACAUGGCUCCUGGAUGACGGCAGCUUCUUGUCACCCAUGCCAUGAUCGUCACAUUCUCCUCUUGUUUUCACUUUCGUUGCUUAGCGGAUAAUGGUGGUCAGCUGCCCUUUGGUCUGUCGUCAAUCACCAGCCAUCCAUCGCUUUCAUAUGGUUUUACACUAGCUUUUGGGCUUUGACCACACCUCCACACCCAUAAAGUGGAGUGAUGUUGAUCUACUGCCGCUCGCCCUGGCGUGCAACUACUGUCGCUCACCCUAGCACAUGGCUACUCACUCGGGCUGCGUGCCCUACCCGCCACCUGGACCUAAGAGGUGAAGGAGAGAGGAGGAAGGGGGAAGGAAAUAAGGAGCCGAGUGCCUCUUUGCAGUCAACCAAGUAGAUCCAUGUGCCAGCGAAGGCAUGGCGCCAGCAAGGGGGGGGGGGCGCAGCAGCAGUCGGCAGGCAACGCAAAUUGGGGCAGAGGUUGGGACCUCACACCCCCCCUCUCAAUGACGUCCAUCCCCUUAAGAUCCGGAACUAAAGCCUCCACAUCUAGCAAUUGGGGGCUCAAUUUUGCACUUGAUUGAAAUGAUUUGGAGUGGAUUAUGGAAGGGAAGUGGAUGGAAAUGAGAAGAGGAGGAGAACGCACUCCUGCUCAUGGCGGCCAGAGGCGUUGUGGCCUAGCGCUCGAAGCAGGAAUGAGGCUAGGCACAGGAAGGACGAGCGCUUGCCUGGGCGAUGGUGAGGAUGGCAAGAUGCGCAGCGCCUGGAUGACGGCGAAGAUGGGGCUAGAUGCGGGUGGCGCUGAUGGAUGAAGAGGCAUCGACUGGCUAGAUGACGAUGAGUACGGGGGAAAUCGAAUGAAUGGAUGGAGCGGAGGUUGAGCGGUGAUUUUUUUUAUUUCCAUAUGUGGGUCCCACAUAAUAAACAUAUGGCAUCAAAUCACCCAUAAAUAUCUUCUACUACUAUACUGAGACAACGCACCAACAUAUGGUGAACCGAAGCCACCGUAUUACGAACAAGCGAAUAAUAACGUGAGAAUAAGUAAGGACCUGUAGCAACGCACGGACAUUUCUGCUAGUGAGAAAAAAAAUUGUUAUCUACCGCAGUAAGCACCGAGCAACAUAGGAGAUCUACUGGAUGGAAUAGAUUAAAUAAUAAAGGGAAGGGAGAAUUGUUUCCUUUUUUUUCCGUGGCAGAUCCGACAUGUCUGCAUGCAACAAGUUGAGGCCGACGUGUCGUGCUAAAUCAAUUGGAUCGGACUGGGGCUGGAUCAGGCGAGCUUGGCUGUGGCCGGGAUGAGGCCAAUAAGGGCGCCGCCCUUGACCUUGGCCUCCUGCGUCUCGUGGAUCUUCUGCAUCUAGAGCAUCCGCUCCAUGACAAGCUUGUACUGGCACUUCUCUUAGGCGUGGUGCUCAGGCUGGCACUUCCAGGGGAGGUAGAACUCGGAGGUGCACGCACUGGUUGUGGUAGGCGAGCGGCACCUGGGCCACCGCCAUCUCCACCUGCGUGAUGAUCUAGGGCUUCAAGGAGCCGAACUGCACACCGACCGUUGCUGCCGCCUCCAUCUGUCACUUUCUUCCCGUCUCUCUCACCGGCGAGGUCGUUCCAUCGAUAGAUGGGCAUUGCGGGUUUGGUGCGGUGUGGGUAGGUGGGGUGCAGCGAGGACAUGAGGAACCCUCUCGGAGAGAGAGAUUGCCAAUCUACUGGGCAAGUGGCAUGAUGAUCCUUGGAUAGAGAACUUGCUCCUCCGGAGUAAAUCCGACAGAUGCCGAGCUGGCGGCAGGCAUCGAGUCGAAGUCCACCGACAUGCUCCCGAAGCAGAGCUGGAUUGGGUUGGCGAGGAAGUCCUUCAUGCUCUCGGAAAAAACAAUGUCGGGACGGGAUGCCAUCGAGCUCGCUAGGGAGGAUCUCACAAUCAUCCCUACCUGGCAUGCCAACUGUUGGAUUUAUAAGCCUGAUAGUCCACCAGGGGGUUACCCAAGUAGUUGAUUUCUAGGUGAGGGCGAUUGUGAAACCAAGAACUCGAAGGUGAUUGCGAGAACACGAAGGGACACGAAGAUUUUAGAUAGGUUCGGGCCUCCGAAGAGUAAUACCCUACGUCCUGUAUGCUGGUUUGUAUUGCUUGAGAUUGAUAUGAUUGUUGGGAUACUCUUGGGGGUGCCCUUGGCCGCUUUAUAUAGGCUGAUGACCAAGAGUUACAAGUCGGUUUGAAUCUAAUCUACUCGGUAAUUAGAUGGAAAGUAAUCUGAGUCGGACUACAAUACGCGUUCCAUGAUAUCCAGGUAGAUUUGAACUGUCUUGUUGCUUUGACGUGCACUCCAAGUAACUUCAUGUCCUUAGCCCGCACGCCUUAGUCGGGUGGGCCCUAGUUGUUAGGUCUGACCAGUAUCCUGAGGUACCCAUAUCUCUCACCUUGGUGCUCCGGCGAUUAGGGUCAACGGCGAGGAUGGGGAUUGGAAGAGGAGAUCAAGGGGACUUUAUGGAGAUGCUCACCGGUGGUGAGGUGGACGGAUUCCAGCCAGAAUUUGGCUGGCGGUGGAAGAACACGACAGGUUGCUCAGGUCUUCGCGAGUGAUGGUACUCCAGCAGUGGAGCGGCGACGAAGACUAGUGGCAGAGCAGCUCCUCGACAUCAUGGAGCUCCCUAAGGCUCUAGCUUGCUCCAAUGGUCGACGGGCAUAGCGAAUUGGCCAGAGAAGGCUGGUAGCGGCUCCUAGCUUCGGUGGAUGUGGGGGAUGGCGGCGCUUGUGGAGGAUGGCGGUGCUUGUGCAAGCUGGGAAGAGUGGCGGCGCGAGGCAGGGUAGCAGCAGGGGCACUGUCUCGACUUUUAUAGGCGCGUGGGUCCGCGCCUACCUUGGCACGCAUGCUGAGGUUCGGCGGUGGCGACGACCAACUGCAGCUACGCUUGGCCUCAACCCGUUGGUGGCCGAUGGGCCUAGCGGACCUAGCCGAGCCAUCAGCUGGGCUGGGUCGGUGAGGGUCGAGCCGCAAAGACUUGGCCCGAUUGAUUAGGAUUUUCCUUUUUUUUAGAAAUGAUUUCUUGUAAAAGAAAAAUCCAGAAAAAUUCUAUAUAAUUAAUUUAAGCAACGAAAAAACCCUAAAAAUCCAAAAAUUCCAGGAAAAAUCCUAGAGAUAGUUUGGGAAUGAGGAGUACAAAUAAAAUACUUGGAGCUCAUGAAAAGGAUUCUAGAACCUUCCAAAAAUUGGAUUUAGCUCUAGAAAAAAGAGAAUAAAUCUUAGAAAAAUCUUGAAAUUCUCAUAAGAACCUAAUGGGCAUCUAAACGCAUUCCAAAACCUUUGCACUUAUGAAAUACCAAGAUGCAUCGGCAUGAAUGCAACACAUACAUAGAACUAUUAUAUUUAAUUCAGAAAAACACUCAAUUAUUUUCCUAUACUAAAUUUCCUGUCAGGAAAAUAAAUGUUGGAAAAAUUUUAAAAUUAUGAGAAAAUCAUUGUUUAAUUAUUAUUUUUAAUCACAUCCUGAAAUUUCAAAAAUUUUAAGGUGUGACAGAUACCCUCAGGUUUACAGAAUUUGACAUCCAUGUGCAAAUUGGAUCUAUCCUUCAAUGAUUCUUUGGAUUUGCACAGUUUUCAGAUAUUUACUGGAAGGAGCCCAACGGAUGAGAUAUUCAAUGAUUCUUUGGAUUUGCACAGUUUUCAGAGAAUGCUCUUCCAGAGAGAAUAUGGGAUAUAGUUGAUCCGACAAUAUGGAUGCACACAGAUGCCUAUAACAGCACUAUGAGAAGUGGAAUUAAGAAUUGCUUGCUUUCUGUUGUUUCUCUUGGAAUAUCAUGCUCAAAGAAACAACCUAGGGAGCAGAUCCCGAUUCAGGAUGCAGCCAUUGAGAUGCACGCUAUUAGAGAUUCGUAUCUCAAGUUUGCCAGAUCUCUUUUGGUGGAGCAUGGAGUAGUAGCAACAACUCACAGUGAUUUCCCACAACAGUGAAUACAUAGGACUGAAAAUGGGCAAGAUGUCCGCAGGUGAUCAGUUUACCUGAAAUAACUGAAGAUGUAUGAAGCUUCAGCUUUAUAAUUCGUCCAUGCAUUUGUUUGCAUCAGAUAUAUGGAAGUAUAAAAUAAGUUUAGAAAAUGUUUCAAAAUAGAUUAGAUCAAGAGGUUUUUACUUGUCGUCUGUAUGGCACAUUUGUUUAGAGAAUUCAGUAAUAUGUAUGAUUCAUAAUACAAUCAAUGCUCUGCAAAUUUCAGAUAGCACAAUUGGAAUAAAAAGCUCAUUCAUUGAUUAUGUUGCUCUAGGUGACUCAACUUAUUGUGAUGUUCACUGUAGAUUUCUCCAUGGUCCAAACGACCUUUGUGAUCAGUUAUGUUUAUGCAUUUUGUAGACUUGUAAAGUCUUUCCCUAACCUGCUGACAUAUCAGCUGGAGCAGAGCACUCUGCCGUUCUGCGCCACUUGCCUCUAGGCAGCGCUUGCCGCUUGGUGGCUGCCGUGGCGACGGGCGGCAUCCGUAAUUGCUCUAUUGGAGGCUGAGGGGCACAAUUACGUCUUGGAGUCGCCACCGCGCGACCUUCGGAGCUCGCCCAUGCCUCAUCGGUACGAGCUCAGUCCCGCGGUGAAUGGCGCGCGCAUCUGGGGUUCCGUCAGCUGCAGGUGCAGAUGGGUGGAGAGCUUAACAGCACUAGGUCUUCAGAAGAUGUUGGGUGGGCUGGAUGGGGCUUUGCGGCUCUGAAUGGCGAGGCGGGCAGGGACGACGGCGGCAGCGGCAGGCGGCGGCACUGGACGCGUUGGGGUGGAGACGACCCGGACCAGGGAGCAUUUUUGAAAAUAGUCGGAUCGCGAUCCUAAUUAGGAAAUGUGAGAAGGGGUGCACCAAAUAUGGGAUGAGAUGGAGAGGAGCGGAUCAGGCCCAGAUCAGCGAUCAUUUACUAUUAGGGCCCGUUUGUUUGGCAGGAAUUGGGCUGAAUUGGAAUUACUUUCCUAGGCCGACCUGUUUGGCUGCACAUGGAAUUGGAAAUCGUCUUUCCGGUGAUUUUCACGGGCUGAUUUUCUUACUUGCGACACAUUCCGGGCCUAAGACAAAGAAAUCAAUUCCAUCCGACUUGCUUCCCCUCCCGACUCGCCUCCCUUCCCCGACACCGCGCCACCUCCCUCUCCCAACUCCCCUCCAUCCCGACGCCGCACCCCCUCCUCCACCGCCUCCUCCGGCGCCCCCUCCUCACCUCCCCCUGACUCGCCUCACCCCGUGCUGCCGCCGCCCUCGACUCUGACUCCCCGAGCGCUGCGCCGCCGCCUCUCGCGCCGCCGCCCCUCGCGACCACCUUCUCGACGGCGAGAUAAACCUCCUCCAGUUUCCCUCCUCCAUCUCGUUCUCCGGCUCACCCCUUCCUUUUUCUUCCUCACCGGCUCACCCCUUCCCCUUGAACAAUCCGCAGAUCUGCGGGGGAGGUGCCACCGGCAAGCAGGCUGGGAGCAGCUGCAACGGCGGCCGCCCCAUCCACGUCUCUACGGACGGCAUCUUCAACAUUCCGACCACGCGCGUGCUCUCCACUAGCAAAGAAGCUGUACGUCCCAAUCCCUUCUGCCCAUCCCCUUUGCUACUCGAGCCAGCAAAGAAACUACUAGUUAGUUGCAUCAGAUUCUCACUGUCAAAUUGGAAGGCCAUUGCUCUUGCUCCUACUAGUAUACCGCACUUUCCACAAAAUGCGACACACGAAUUUGUUAAUUUUGCCGUAAUUCUGCUAUCAAAUCAAAAGGCCAAUCCUCUUGCUCUAAACAGUUUCUGCAAUUUCGUGCACUAUCGAUUGCUAGUGCUAAUUACAUGGAGGGCCUUUGGUACUUCUCUGCUAAUGCUAAUUAUAUGUGACAUGCUCUGAGAUUCUUCAUACUGUGUGCUGCCAUUAGUUUAAAUUUGGUAGAAGCUGAAAUCUCUUCGUAGAUCAUUAUGUGCUGCCAUUCUGAUAUCCUGUGGAGUUGCAUAUCAACUACUAGUGCUAGCAUUUAGUUUUAUCUGUCACAGCAGUUAAGCAUCAGUCAGCCCUUAUCUAGCAUUUAGUUGGUGCAGCUGUGCAAGUGAUGUUCCUAUUGUUUUUAAUUUUUGUCUUCUGCAGCAUUUUGCAGGCUGUCUAUGUUUCUGCUUAGUUUCGUGAAAUAGUGUAGCAUUUUGAUGAUAAAUUAAAACAUUCCUUUUUGCAUAUGUUUAGAUGCCUGACAGCAACAUAGACUUGGUUAAUACAGGCAUAGAGCAAAUGAGAGAGAGCGUAGGAAGAAGAGAAAAAGAGUGGCUAUUUUAUUUAUUUCUGCUGUCAUGAGCAUGAUUGUGCACUAAUGCGUAAGAGACCUAGGCGUAUCGUUGAUCCGGAUGAAGUGGCUGAGAGAAAUGUUGCUAGUCGGAAACAAAUGCCAAGGAAUCUGUACUAAGGAUCAAAUAUUUUUUGCUAUGACAGUUUGCGCCUAAUUAAGAGAUCAUUUUCUGACCUAUGUGCCAUCUUACGUGAUAGGUGCGGUAUGUGUGAUACUGUCGGUAGAAGAAAAUGUGGCUAUCUUUUUGCUUAUAGUGGGCCAUGGCACUAAGAUGAGGAUGAUUCGUAGCUCAUAUAGGUGGUCGCUCGAGCCAAUCUACCAUCAUUUCAAUGAGGUGUUGAGAGGUGUUCUAUCAUUAUGCCAUGAAUUUAUCAAGCUUCUUGAUCCAUCAGCUGUAGAACCUGAGGAUUCCAAGUGGAAGUGGUUUGAAGAUUGCCUUGGAGCAUUAGAUGGUACACAUAUUGACAUUUUGGUGCCUUUGGCUGACCAAGGGAGGUAUAGGAAUAGGAAGCAACAGAUUACCACCAAUAUUUUGAGGGUUUGUGAUCAUCACAUGAAAUUUAUUUACAUCUUAGCAGGAUGGGAAGGAUCGGCUUUAGAUUCACGUGUGCUACGUGAUGCAAUGUCUCGGGACGAUGCAUUUCUUAUUCCAAGUGGGAAAUACUAUCUUGUAGAUGCUGGAUACACCAAUGGACCGGGCUUUCUUGCUCCAUAUCGAUCCACUCGCUACCACUUGAAUGAGUGGGCUGCUCAAGGGCAUAACCCAUCCACUCCCAAAGAACUAUUCAAUUCGCGCCAUUCAACUGCUAGAAAUGUGAUAGAGAGAACAUUUGGGCUAUUAAAGAUGAGGUGGGCUAUACUAAGAAGCAACUCAUAUUUUAACUUACAAAAUCGGGUAUUCCGUAGUUAGUAACCUAGCUUGAAAUUCACCUCUGAAUGACCCUAGCAUGUAACUCAUUUCUACUAAUUUUUUGCAGAUUAGGAUCAUUAAUGCUUGUUGCAUAUUGCACAACUUUGUAAUUGAUAGACAAAGAGAUAUAGAUGACUUACUUAUAUACACCAAGUUGAUCAAGUAAUAUAUGUUGAACCUCAUGAAGUUCAAAGUGAAGUGGGCAUGAUUAGCAAUGUUCAAUCAUCAAAUGAAUGGAGCAAUUUUAGGGAUACCAAAGCUAACCAAAUGUUUGCUGAUUACCAAGCGAGACGUGGUCAAUGUAUGAUAAAUUCUAUCAUCAAUGCAUGCUCAAAUUUAUGAUAUUUGGUGUUGCUCCUUAAUAUUUUACUGAUAACCUUUGUGAACUUUUUUCUUGUAGAAUAUGGAGAAGGGCAAGAAGUCAGUCUCGAGCAGGGGUUACAUUUGUUGGAAUGACGACAUGAAUAAGGCUCUUCUUGACACAUUUGUGGAGUACUAUAACAAGGGUGACACAUGCCAAAAUGGGUGGAAGUCUCAUGUCUAUACAACUUCUAUCAAGAAUAUCCGAGAAAAGUGUAAUGUGGAUAUCACAAAAGACAACAUCAUGGCAAGGAACAAGACCUUUGACAAACACUACACUAUCAUCAAUGGUAUGUUGGAAUCAAGUGGAUUUGGUUGGGAUUGGAACAAAAAUAAAAUAUCUGUUGAUAGUGAUUCUGUAUGGGAAGAAUAUGUGACGGUAAGUUUCAAAAACCACUGAUUUACUUGCUUAACUUGCUUCUCUUUACAAGCAGUUUUCAUUUUGUUAGACACAAUCACAUAUGAGGUUAUCCUUAUUUUACACAUGGUAUGGUAUGAAUCUACUAGGUGGGCUUGGCAUAUAAUUGAAAGAUUUUUUGUACUCUAUCUAAAGUGGCAAUGAUUGUUUCAUCAAAACUUAUUGUUCCUGAAAACUUAUUGGCAUAUAAUUGAAAGUUUCUAUCUAUUGUUGAAAACAGUGUGUAGUGAAUUAUGUUCGUUACCUGUGUUCCUAAACAAUUAUGUAUGCAUCCUUGUCCCUGUAUGUUUUGUUACUUUUUUUAUUGAUAGUGUGGCAUCUUUAGGUUGUUCUUGAAAUGAAAGUAUACUUUCACUGCACAAGAAUUUAUUGGCCAGAAUAGUGGCUUGUAUUGGUCAGAUCCUAGUCAGCAAGUGCACGUCUCCUACAAGGCUGAGAAUCUUGCGUGAGGAAACUAGAGAGACCACUAGCAUGAACAAUGCCUCUCCAUACUCUGCAAUUUUUGAACUUUAGAUGCACCUGUCUCUUUGCUAGAAUUGCAAAUUAAGUAUGAAACAUGAAUCGACAUCAUUUAGUAUUGUUGUGCAGCACCAUACAAUGGUUUUGUGGUUUUGUGGAUUCUAGAAAAGGAUUCUCACAAAUGAUAGUUGCCAGUUAUACCUUUUGUUGCCAGUUCUACAAAAGGAGCCAUGGAUGUGUUUCAAUUUGUAGAUAUUCAUUGUGCAAAAUGCGACUAGAGCUUCUAGUACAUGUAUUUCUAAUAGUAGAAGCCAUGCAGAAGUUCCUGUAUUUGAACUACAGUAUGUAAACUGAUCUAUAUGUGUCUAAACUGGUCUGUAUGUGAACUACAAUGAUUGUACUUCUAUUUGGGUUCAGUACAUACUUGCUCUACACUUGUUUUCUAACCAAGUACAUUUAUUUUCUGUAGAAAAAUAAAGAAGUUACUGGGUACAGGCACAAGACUGUCUUGUACUGGGACUCAAUUAGCUUGGUGUUUGGCAAAGGCCAUGCUACUGGUGAAGCGGCAAAGACUGUGGCUGAGAGCUCAAAAAAUAUGAGUAAGGAAUAUCUUAGUAACAAAGAACCCACAUCAUCGGCAACUUCAGGAAGUUUAAAGAGGCAACGAUCAGGUGACUCUUUUACCUCUAUGAUAGCUGAAAAAAUGGACAAGUUUGCUGAAGCACUCAAGGAGGAAGCCCUAAAGGCCUAACAUCAAAAGAAAUUCUAGACACACUGAAUGAGGUACAAUGAUUGGAUGAAGACACUUUGUUGGACCUAUUUGAUAUCCUGACCGGUGAUGCACGCAAGUAUGAGUCUCUGUUGGCGCUUCCGGAGAAGAUGAGGAAGAGGUGGCUCCUAAAACAGCUCAAGAAGUGAAAAAAUUAGUUCAUAUAUAAAUUAUACUAUCAAGUGAUGGAUAAUGUCUAUUGAACUUCCAUUGCCUUGUAAUAAUAUGUGGCUUCAACUAUAUGAAAGUUUAGAUACUAUGUCUGUAUUGCUUGCAUUGUCAAGAUAAUAUGUUUAUCAUGAUCUCAUACUAUGUCUGUCAUGAAAGUUUAGAUAAUAUGUGGCUUCAACUUGUCAUGAUUGUAAUCUCCUUUGACAUGUUGCAAGUAAUCAGAUAUGUCUGCCAGGAUUGCAUUGUCAAGUAUGAAUGUAUAUCAGCAUUGUAGGGAGAGAAGCUUAUCUGCUUUUUGGAGAUAAACAUUCAAAUUACUGGUGUAUGACGGGAUGAAAUACUCUAGUGUUCACCUGGUUGGAAGGAUGAGAGGGAGAUGAGAGAGAGAGUUUGGAAGAGAGAGAGGUGAGAGUUCGGAUGAGAGAGAAAGCAGCUUAGAAGGAUGAGAGAGAGAAAGCGGUAUUCAGCUGGAUGGUGGAAAUUUUAUAUAUUACUAAUAAUGCAUCCAAACAAUAUUUGGAAUUUAAUUCUAAGAAAAACUUCCUUUGUACAACCAAAUAAGAAAAUUCAAUUGAAUCAAAUUCUACGGAAUCCAUUUCCUAUGGAAUCUAAUUGCUAGAAUAUGAUUCAUGGAAUGAGUUUCAAUUCUAGGGAAACAAACGGGCCAUGGUCUUCAUUCCCAAGGAAAGCUUGAGGCUCUGCAAUAUUACACAACAAUGAAGUCAAGAGGGUUGAUCCCUGAACCAAGGACCAAGAUACUGGUGAAAGCUAUACAUAUGAAGAAAGAUGGGGCUGUCAUAGAAGAUCAGUCUGCAAAUAUGACAGGGAAGAAUCUAAAACUGGAUCCACGAUCUAGACUAUUCCAUGUUCAUAAAUAGUUUGCUGUCAGAUCUUACUUCUAUGUGUCAAAAGAAUCUCUUCGACCAGUGUCCAGAUCACAAUGGUCACACCUUGGGCUACAAUAAAUCAUCAGCAAAGUGUAUUGGCAUUAUGUAUCCCAGAAAGUUUUGCUCAGACUUUCAAUGCCAGGGUAUGUUUUUUAUGUCUGAUAUGGAUCAAUUGCAGGUACUGUAUUACACGCUCGUAUUAUGAAGGUUAUGUGAAAUAUGACAGAUGUUUGUUUAUUCAUCUGUUAUGCAUGGCUGUGUCUACUGUCUAGUUGUUGGCUUGUUGCCAACAUAUGCAGCAGCAGGUAGCUUCAGCCGCUCAGAAGCCCAAAUGAAGGAUGGCCCAGGCAGAAUAGCUAUGUCCAGACCCAGAAAGCUUAGGACAUGUCUUGCCAGCCUGCAGUUUUGUACUCGUAGCACCAACCAUCUCCGGGUUCUGGCCGGUUAUAUACAUGGUCUGGAAUGGGCAUCCGCUGAUCGAUUGAAACCUUGAGUUGCUUCCGUGUGUCUUUUGCCAUCUAUAUAUUAUGGUUAGUCAACGGCAUGCAGUACACCCAUGCAUAUGAUUGCAGUAGGAUGACAUGGCGUGACCAGAACCCUUCUUUUGCCAGUUUUAGAUUCUUAUACACGGCCAACUGACGCAGCAGGGAGUUGCAUGCUAAGCAGUUCAGCGUAGGUGGUGAGUUCUCAACUCUGAUAUGGCUUAUGGAAGAACACUGUCACGGUGUCACCUAGCCGGUUGGAGGCCAACCUCUUACUAGGGACAGCAAUGGCCCUGUCCGGCCACUGUUUCGUGGCUGGUAUUAUUACCCCUAUGCAGUGAAUAUGACAUGUGGAUCUAUGUGUAUAUUAUGUCGUCAAAAGAACAUUAUAUGAACCGUUGAUCCACCUUUGAUUCUAUUAAUGUGUCAUGGUCAAUUGAUGUCAAACUCUAUUAUCUUCAAGUCUUACUGUAUUGAUAAAAUCACGAUGCUGCUACUGCCAUUUUGAUGUUUAUAAAAGGGUAUUGAGAACCUGGUGGGUAUCCAUUCGAUGCGCAGGGUUGGGGGUGGGGAAAAAUGAGUGUAAAGGACAGGGAUGCAGUAUUUAGAAAGAUGAGGCUGGCACAGAAAAUAGUCUCCAAGUAUGGCAGGGAAGAAUCUAAAACUGAAUCCUUGAUCAAGACUGUCCCAUAUUCAUAAAUAGUUCACUGACAGAUCUUGCUUCCAUAUUCUGAACAGCUGAUGCUGGGCACAUAGGAGGUUAACCGGUCAGCGGAUCAAAGAAAAUCCACAAUGGCCUCAUCUUGGGUUAGAGACAAUCAUCGGUAAAGAAUCAUAUUGCCGGAUAAGGAUAUCUGUGAUUGGUGGGUGCAGAUCCAUGCUCAUUCAAGAAACACAUGAUUCUUUACGGAUGAUCAUCUCUCAGCACACCCUGCUGAUAAGGUUAUCUGAGAUUGGUGGGUGCAGAUCCUAGAAACAAGCUAGGGCUGAAUGCGCCGCUGUACUUGGAUGUUGUGGUGACACCGUAAUGAUUGUGUGUUUAAUGGAGUUUUCCAUAGUGACUAGCGUGCAGGCCGUCCUCGUAUUUGAGAAAAAAAUCAAUGGGCGAAAUAUUUUCACCCAGGUAAUUGUUGCAUUGUAUGAAUAGGCUUAGAUACCUGGUUAAAGUAUGGUGCGUGUACUGUGACACAAGAAGAUUUAUCAUAUCUAUCUAUGAAUUAGUGUUAAAACUCCUACAUAAAUAUCUUCUCUUAUCUCACUUUAUGUAUAUAUAUGACACAGAAGCACAUGUAUAUCGGCAUUGUAGAGAUAGAGAUGAGAGAGAAGCUUAUCUGCUUUUUGGAGAUAAAUAUUCAAAUUACUAGUGUAUGAGAGGGAUAGAAUUAUUCUAUCAUAUUGUUUAUUCAACAUCUAAAAAGAUUCCAUGUUUAGUCAUCUAUAUCGGCGUUGUAGAGAGAGAGACUAGUGUUCAUCUGGUUGGAAGGAUGAGAGAGAGAGGAGAGAGUUUGGAUGAGAUAGAGAGAUAGUGUUCAGCUGGUUGGAAGGAUGAGAGAGAGAGAGAGGAGAGUUUGGAUGAUAGAGAGAUUAGUGUUCACUUGGUUGGAAGGAUGAGAGGGAGAUGAGAGAGUUCGGAUGAGGAGGUAGAGAGUUCGGAAGAGAGAGAGAGGUGAGAGUUCGGAUGAGAGGUGUGAGAGAGGUGAGAGUUCGGAUGAGAGAUAAAAUAGCUUAUAAGGAUGAGAGAGAGAGAAAGCGGUAUUCAGCUGGAUGGUGGAGACUUCAUAUAUUACUAAUAAUGCAUCCAAACAACAUUUGAAAUUUAAUUCUAAGAAAAACUUUCUCGGUAAAUCAAAACAAGAAAAUUCAAUUGAAUCAAAUUCUACGGAAUCCAUUUCCUACGAAAUCUAAUUGCUAGAAUAUGAUUCAUGGAAUGAGUUCCAAUUCUAGAGAUCCAAACGGGCCCUAAGAGAAUUGUAGUGAUCAACUCCCAAGUUGCAAUAUAUUCUAGGAAAUAGGUGGUUAUGAGGAUGAUACCUGCAGACAAUACUUUUUAUCCCUCAAUUCUUACAGAGAAUUGCACUAUCAACUGCAUUUUCAUUUGUGCCACGCUGCUCAGCUAUAAAAAACGGGGCAAAUCGACCAAAAUAAAUGAAUAAACCACAUGGUUUAGACUGGUGGCAUAUGUAUGUCUGAUGAGUUUAGAAUCCCAACAGACCUCUGUUUGCUUAUCCAACAGGAGGGAAAAAGUUUACUUACUAAAUCAGCUUUGCAUGUCAGGCUGCAAUUGUUAGAGAGUAGAAUUGGGUAAUUUGUGAACAUAAUUGAAUCAAAGUUUUGUCUCAGACUAGUAAUAGAAAAUGGUGAUGCUCCAUAGCUAGAACAACACGUUCCUACACUAGUUUAAAAAAUCCCCUGAAAUUGGGAACAAUGGUAAAGCCCAAACCAUACUUGGAACUUGGAAGGCCGCUGGCGGAUGUCAAAGUCAAAAACAGAAGCAGACAACGACGUCUCACCAGAUCACGAAUCAGAUGCGAUGCAUAUACAUGUUGCAGGCAUUAGCACGCAUCCCUUAGGAUUAAACAAUUCAGCAAGUAGCUCCCCUGCUGACCAAGAAAAGCAAGCUCUGUCUCGCAGCAAGCUCUUCAAUACGCUCCAGCCCAGCUCUACCAUGGCAUUUGCAAUGCGCGUCAUGAGCUUGCUUCCUGCCACCAUCGCCGUGAUGAUCGCAGCGGCCUCCUGGGGAGCGCACGGCGGUGCCAGCGACGAGGCCAGCGCGCUGCUUGCUUUCAAGGCUGAGCUCGCCGGCAGCGGCUCCGGCAUGCUUGCAUCCUGGAAUGGCACCGCUGGCGUCUGCAGCUGGGAGGGCGUGGCGUGCACCAGCGGCCAGGUGGUGGCACUGAGCCUGCCCUCUUAUGGGUUCGCCGGAGCCCUCUCCCCGGCCAUUGGGAACCUCACUUUCCUGCGGACCCUGAACCUGAGUUCCAACUGGUUCCAGGGGGAGGUCCCAGCAAGCAUCGGCCGCCUAGCGCGUCUGCAGACGCUUGAUCUGAGCUACAAUGCGUUCUCUGGUACGCUUCCUUCCAACCUCAGUUCCUGUGUCAGCUUACUGCUGUUAGAUCUCAGCAGUAACCGGUUCCAUGGGCGUAUCCCUGUUGAGCUUGGAGACAAGCUAACAAGUCUUCAGAAGUUCUCACUGGGCAACAACAGCUUGACGGGUGCCAUGCCAGGAUUACUAGGUAACCUGUCAUCCCUGAACUACCUUGAUCUGAGAAAAAACCACCUCGAGGGUCCGAUCCCACAUGAACUCGGCAGCAUGGGCGGCCUGCAGGUCCUUUUACUCCAUGACAACAGACUCUCCGGUGUGCUUCCACACUCCCUGUACAAUCUGUCCUCACUGAAAAAGUUGGGGGUAGGAGACAACAUGCUGUCUGGAACCAUCCCUGCUGAUAUCGGCGAUAGGUUCCCCGGUAUGGAAGCUCUUGACUUUUCUAGCAACCGAUUCAGUGGAGCUAUCCCACCUUCGCUCGGCAACCUCUCUGCUCUCACAAAACUAAUCCUUCAAGAAAAUGGUUUUAUUGGAUAUGUGCCUUCUGCUUUGGGAAAGUUGCAAAGUCUUACUGCCCUUUUCUUGGGUGUUAACAGGCUAGGAGCAAACGACAGUCAAGGGUGGGAAUUCAUCACUUCACUGGCAAACUGCUCCCAGCUUCAGGUUCUUGUUCUCGGCAACAACUCUUUCAGCGGGCAACUGCCUAAUUCAGUCACAAACCUGUCAUCAACUCUGCAAGGUCUUUAUUUGGGAGACAAUAUGAUUUCUGGGAAUAUUCCAAUAAACAUCGGAAAUUUGGUUGGUCUUACAGUAUUUGUGAUGGGAAAUACUUCUGUAUCUGGACAGAUUCCAGAGAGCAUUGGUCAGCUAAGAAACUUGGGUGUGUUAGGCCUUUACAACACUAGCUUGUCAGGCCUCAUACCUUCGUCACUAGGAAAUCUUACACAGUUGAAUAGGCUUUAUGCAUACUAUGGAAACUUAGAGGGGCCAAUUCCAUCAAACUUGGGGAACUUAAAGAAUGUGUUUGUCUUUGAUCUCUCAACAAAUCGACUCAAUGGUUCAAUUCCUAUAGAGGUUUUAAAACUUCCUCAACUUUCAUGGUACUUAGACUUAUCAUAUAAUUCAUUAUCCGGGCCACUUCCAAUUGAGGUUGGUACCAUGGUGAAUCUUAACGAACUGAUUCUGUCUGGAAACAAGUUGUCAGGCACCAUACCAGCUAGUGUUGGGAACUGUAUAUCGUUGGUACGGCUGCUGCUCGAUAACAACUUAUUAGAAGGAAGCAUACCUCAAUCUCUGAAGAACAUAAAAGGUCUUGCAUUACUGAACCUAACAAUGAAUAAGCUAUCUGGUAGUAUUCCUGAUGCCCUUGCUAGCAUUGGCCACCUGCAACAACUGUAUCUUGCACACAACAACUUGUCAGGUUCCAUCCCCAAAGUUCUACAGAAUUUGACAUUGUUGGCAAAACUGGAUUUGUCCUUCAAUGAUCUGCAAGGCGAAGUGCCAAAAGGGGGUCCUUUUGCAAAUGCAACU